rnacentral:lncRNA from 1 species
CCAAAGACGUAAAGAGGAUGGAAGAACUGGGAAGGGAAAUGGUUGAACAUUGUGCCGGUCUUCCGCUAGCUAUAGUCGUUUUGGGUGGAAUUCUUGUAACAAAACCGUCGUUGAUAGAGUGGGAGAAGGUAUAUCGUGAUAGUAAAUCAUCCCUCAAGGCGGGGAGAGGAUUGGAAGAAGCCUAUCAAAGGGAAAUAUUAAGUUUUUUAGUUUGGAGCUACAAUGAUUUACCCCCUCAGUUGAAGCCAUGCUUUUUAUAUUUAUCUAAGUUUGGUGAUAAUAAAUAUAUAGAAGUGGGGACUUUGUAUCAGCUGUGGAUCGCCGAAGGAAUGAUACUCUCGAGUGACAAAAGGGAAGGAGAAACAAUGAUUCAAGUGGCUGAAUCAUACAUGGGAGAACUAGUCCACAGGAGUAUGGUUCAAGUGAGAUUUAACAAUGUGAAAUCAUCACCUACAAAGUUUGAAGAUUGUUCUCUGCAUGACCUUAUGCGAGAUAUGUCUUUAAUACAAGCAAAAGCAGAAGAUUUUUUUGAAGAUAUACAUUCCAAAGUGCAAAUGAGUUUCAUCUCAAAUCUACUGCAGAUUCAAGAAACACAACUCGACUUGUGAUUAAUUUGGAUGAGGAAUAUUCUAGGAAAAAAGUUAAUUACUACUUCUCCAAGAAACGCGAUAAAAAAUGCUAUCGAUCAAUUUUACUCCUCGGUCAGUUUGGAGCGAGAAGUUUGCCACGGUCGCUCGGGUCACAUGUUGCCAAUUUUAGGUUCCUAAAAGUGUUUUCAGUGGAGAAAUAUACCAAUUUUUCUGGUGCAUUUUCCCAUAUUAAUUUUGGAAGAGCAUUAGGGGCCCUUGUUUACUUGCGAUAUCUUAGUGUAAGGGGCACUAAUUUGUUGGUUUUUCCUUCUAUACAAAAGUUGGUACUGUUACAAACUCUUAGAUUGCAUACAUGCGAUGAUAUGUAUGCUUUACCAUGGUUGUCAAGAGAUGUUCUGGUGAAGCUCGAUUGUUUGCGGCACCUGUAUUUGCCUAAAUUUAAAGUUGACGUUUUGGUAAGGAAAUCGAAAUUACGGUUUAAUGGGUUGAGCAAGUUAGAGACCCUGGAGAACUUUGACACUACUUGGUGUGAGGUUAAGGAUCUACGUGAACUAAUCAAUCUUCGGAAACUAAUGGUAACAGUGAGAGGUAGCUGUGAUAUUCUGGAAGAAAUGAUGAAAAACUUGGAUGAUAUAGCCUCCUCACCAUCUUCAUGUCUGAGCUACUUGGGUGUUGCUAUUAGUAAUUGUCAUCUCGAGCUGAACAAUGGUCUUACUAUCUUAAAACAAUUGGUAUAUGCUGAAAAUUUGAACCUUCGGGAUUUGAAAAUAUAUGGGCGUAUCCCAGAGGUGGGUCUAAUAUUUCCGCUUCAAUAUGUAUCUACAAUUGGUAUUACAAGUUUAACUUUAGCGAGUUCAUGCCUAGAAGAAGACCCGAUGCCAAUACUGGAAAUGCUUCCAAUGUUGGGUGUUCUCUGUUUGUUUAAGGAUACAUAUGUGGGGAAGGAGAUGGUGUGCUCCGCAACCUGUUUUCCUAAACUCACCUCUCUUUAUUUGCAAGAGUUCCCAAACCUUGAAAAAUGGAGGGUGGAGAAAGGAAGCAUGCCCAUGCUUUCAUACUUGCGUAUUGAAAGAUGUAACAAGUUGGAGGAGCUUCCCGAAGGCCUAGUGUUCCUCAAGUCCCUUCAAGUACUAGAUAUAUUUCAUAUGCUUCAAGAUUUUAAUGAUAGGCUUAAAAGGCAUGAUGGUGAAGAGGGACCCGACUUUCACAAAAUUUCUCAUGUCGAUAGACUCAUUAUUGACGAUCAGGAGUUAAAUUGAAUGUUCUUGCAAGCUUAUUAUUCCACAAAAUUAUUAGUUCACUUAUAAGGCUAUAAGCCAUAUUUGUCAAAAAAAACAAAAAAAAACUACUCCUUUAGAAAACGGCUCAGCGUUCUCAGGUUCAUAUUCACACCAUAUUCUCUUGUGAACUAGGGGCACAAUUUUCAUCAUUUUCUUUGUCUUACAAGCAUGCAAUCUAGUCAUUUGAAAUUGAUCACUUUAAAGACCAUCCUUGUGUCUCGUUCAUUUUCCUUGAGGUGAACAAGAGUUGAACAUAUUCGGAAGCAAUAAAUAUAACAGUCUUAUAACAGAAUAUCGAUUUAUGAUAAUGUUAGACUGCAGAAAAUGAGAGGAAGUAAUUUUUCACUGACCAAUAUGUAAUAUGUUUUCAUGCUAUUGCGGCCAACACAACAGAGUACAUUGUUUCCCACAUGUUGCAACAAAACACCAAAACUAGGAGACUUCUAACUCUUGACUCCACCCAUUGUUCAAACUUUUUCUUUGUGAUCUUUUUUUAUAAUGAAACACUUUUGUAUUUUUUUCCUUUAUAGUUAAAACUACGAUAUAUACAGCGUUUAGGACUGGGAAACUGCUUUCUUCAAGACGCUGAAGGCAACGAGCAUAAGCAGUGAUAUCAUGAUCUUCUUUGAAGCAAGAAUCCGCAAGUUCACCUUCAUGCCAUGGUCUCUCAUGAGCUUCACUGUUGCCCUAAUUACUGAAAUAAGCCAGAAUACAACGGACAAGAACACCACUUUCAUUGUGUCUGCAGGUCCAUUCACACUUCUUGUGCCUCCCGACACCUCGACAUAGGACCAAGCAGCGCCUUGAUUAUCGGUAGUUCCACUAUGAUUGAGGCCAAGUUUCUCGUUCAACCAACAUGAUAAAGUCACAAGCAGCUUUGCAAGCCAUGCAAUCUCAUCACUGGAGACUGGUCGCUUCAACCAGUCACCCCUGUAUUUCGUACCGGUUUGCUUCUUGUUGCGUAUCAUUCUAGGACUAAAUAUCUCAUCACGUGGAUGCUGAUUUUCUCUUGUCUCGGGGACUGCUUGUGUGUUCCUUGGAGUAGAGUUACCAAAUAAGCACCCCAUCUGGGCUUUGAUAGAAUCUAAACAAGCCAUAUUGUGAGCAUGAUUAUCUCCCAAGACGGUCUGCAGCUCCGACUCAGCACGCAGCACAAAGAGCUGCAAUUACAAUGUGAGUAGUGAGUGAGACUUGAGAUUUAGAAUGAUGUCAAUAUGCUUAAGACCUGCACAAGAAAUACAAGAAACAUAUACAAAAUAAGUAAACGGAAACUAUAACGAAUUGAUCCUGGGAUAAAAAUAUAUACUAAUUAUAAAAGAAAAUUUCCCCACUGUUACCCUGACUCUUCAUUUUGCCUCAAGUACACGUGUCGGACACUCAACACUUGAACAUCGGACACUCAACACUUGAACAUAGGUACAGACACUACAGAACUUAUUUUAGGCCAAAAACAUGUAAAUUUUCAGAAUACUACCGAGACACACUCGGACAGGUAACCAUGUUGGACACUUUUAGCUGACUCCAGGUAAUAUAGAUUCUUCAUAUGUAAGCUUACCAGAAGUAUCCCAUCAGUGCCCAUAAAUGAAAAGAAGCCGAAAGAAACUAUAAAAGAGGAAUAUAGCAGAUUAUUAUUAAUUAGUAGCCUUGCAUCAGUUUCCUCUAUAAUUCAACACAAGUAGCUUACGCGGAUAAAGACAUUCUUACCAGAUGCUGACGCAAGGAUUGAUGUAGAAAGAAUCCGGAUUUUGCUCCGGGAUGUACGAGAGCUUGCCUAUGAUGCUGAACAUGUUGUCGAAACUUUUGUUAUUAAAGCCUCAUCCACUAAAAAACCAUUUCAGCGGAUGAACAGAGUCAAGUUUUCAAGAAAGAUGAAAAAUAUACAGAAAAAGAUGUCCCUCCUCUUCAAUUUAUUUUCUGAUUAUAAUAUCAUACCAACUUCUGAAUCAACUUUCUCAAACAGGGCAAGUUUUCAAGAAAGAUGAAAAAUAUACAGAAAAAGAUGUCCCUCCUCUUCAAUUUAUUUUCUGAUUAUAAUAUCAUACCAACUUCUGAAUCAACUUCCUCAAACAGAGAAUCGGGAAAACUUAAGCGAUUUCACUCUUUCACUACUCCUGAACCAGAGUUAUUUGUUGGAUUUCAUGAAGACGUUGAAUGCUUGGUGCGACAUUUGGUGGAUGAAACUCAUGAUUCUUACCCACUUAUAUCUAUUUGUGGAAUGGGGGGCCUGGGAAAGACUACUCUCGCUCAAAAGAUAUACAAUCACUCUGCCAUCAAGACUCACUUUGCUGGUUUAGCAUGGGUAUCAAUUUCGCGAAAGUGGCAGACAGAUCGUGUGUUGCAGAGAAUUCUCAUAUGUCUCGUACCUGAGAACAAAGAAUCUAUCCUUAAUAUGGACAGCAACAAGCUAGUGGAGUAUAUGCUACAUAUUAAGGAACGGAAAAAAUGCUUGAUAGUCCUCGAUGACAUAUGGUCAACUGAUGCUUGGGAUGCAUUAAAAGCUGCAUUCCCAGCCGGGAAGUCCAUAAGCAAAUUAAUGCUUACAAGCCGUAAUGUUGAGGUUGCUAAGCAUGUAAAUUUGAACGGAUUCAUUCACAAGCCAGAAUGUCUAAAUCCAGAACAAAGUUGGGAGCUACUCAAGUUGAAAGCACUUCACACAGGAAAUUGUCUAGGUACAUAAUUUUACUUGCGUUAAUUAUAGUUCAUAUACUUUUUCCGCACCCUAUCUUUGGUACGACAGCCUUAAUGAGCCAUAUUUUCUGUUACUUGAGUUGGAUAAGUUUGGUUAGAGAUCUGCCCAGACAACCUUAAAUAACAUUGUUCUGUUCAAGUAACAUUUUUUUCGUGUUUGUUUGAAUUCGUUAGUCGUUUACAAACGUAUGUAUUAGAAUUGUAAACGAAUGUAACAGUUCAUUAAGUGCCCUCUUGAGGUUGAGUUAACGAACUCGAAUUCAAACCACAUAUUUUGUUUGAGAACCUUAACAAACUUUAUGGGGUUCAGUAAUUUUUGCUGGUGUUGACUCGAAGUUUAUCGGAGUUAAGUUCAUUAACCAUUUCCCUUCCCAGUUCUUCCAUCCUUUUUACAUCUCUGGUAAUGUCUGCAAAACACAAGAUACGGGAAUCAUAUGUGUGUAUAUAUAGACACACAAACGCAAGCCAAGAUAAUUUCUAAUUUAGUCAUUUGACUGGUGCAAAUAUUUAAAAGACACGUUCAAGUUAUAGCCCUAAUUGAACAUUGUGCCGGUCUUCCGCUGGCUAUAGUCAUUCUGGGUGGAAUUCUUGUAACAAAACCGUCGUUAAUAGAGUGGGAGAAGGUAUAUCGUGACAGUAAAUCAUCCCUGAAGGCGGGGAAAGGACUUGGAGAAGCCUAUCAAAGGGAAAUAUUAAGUUUUUUAGUUUGGAGCUACAAUGAUUUACCCCCUCAGCUCAAGCCAUGCUUUUUAUAUUUAUCUAAGUUUGGUGAAGAUAAAUGGAUCAAAUUAGAGACUUUGUAUCAGCUAUGGAUCGCUGAAGGAAUGAUACUCUCGAAUGACAAAAGGAAAGGAGAAACAAUGAUACAAGUGGCUGAAUCAUACAUGGGAGAACUAUUGCAUAGGAGUAUGGUUCAAGUCAGAUUUAACAAUGUGGAAUCAUCACUUACAAAGUUUAAAGAUUGUUCUCUGCACGACCUUAUGAGAGACAUGUCUUUAAUACAAGCAAAAGGCGAAGAUUUUUUUGAAGAAAUACAUUUACAAAGUGGACAUGAGUUUCAUCUCAAAUCUACUUCAGAUUAAAGGCCAGCUUACACUCGACUUGUGAUUCAUUUGGAUGAGGAAUAUUCUAGCAAAAAAGCUAAUUACUACUUCUCUAAGAAAGGCAAUGAAAAAUGCUAUCGAUCAGUGUUAUUCUUUGGCGUCUUCGGUCCGAGAAGUUUGCCACGGGCAUUGGGGUCACAUGUUGCCAAUUUUAGGUUCCUAAAAGUGUUUUCUGUGGAAAAAUACACAAAUUUUUCUGGUGCGUUUUCUCAUAUUAACUUUGGAAGAGCAUUAGGGUCCCUUGUUUACCUGCGAUAUCUUAGUGUAAGGGGCAGUAAUUUGUUGGUUUUUCCAUCUAUGCAAAAGUUGGUGUUGUUACAAACUCUUAACUUAGAUACAUUCGAGGGUAUGUAUGUUUUACCAUGGUUGUCAAGAGAUGUUCUGGUGAAACUGGAUUGUUUGCGGCAUCUGUAUUUGCCGAUAUUUAAAGUUAACGUUUUGGGAAGGAAAUCAAAUUUUCGGUUUAAUGGGUUGAGCAAGUUAGAGACCCUGGAGAACUUUGACAGUAGUUGGUGUGAUAUUAAGGAUCUACGUGACCUAAUCAAUCUUCGAAAACUAACGGUAACAGGGAGAGGAAGCUGUAAUAUUCUGGAAGAAAUGAUGAAAAACUUGGUUGAAAUAGCCUCCUCACCAUCUUUUUGUUUGAGGUACUUGGGUGUUUGUGUUCUUUAUUGUCAUCUUCGGCUGAAAAACGGUCUUACUAUCUUGAAACAAUUGGUGUGUGCUGAAAAAUUGAACCUUCGACAUUUGAGAAUACAUGGGCGUAUCCCAGAGGUGGGUCUAAUAUUUCCAGUGCGAUAUGUUGGGGAUAAUUAUGCACAUGUAUCUACAAUUCAUAUUACAAGUUUAAAUUUAUCGAGAUCAUACUUGGAAGAGGACCCGAUGCCAAUACUUGAAAUGCUUCCAAUGUUGGGUGAUCUCUUUAUGUUUACAGAUACAUUUGUGGGGAGGAAGAUGAUGUGCUCCGCAACCGGUUUUCCUAAACUCACCAAUCUUUGUUUGUACGAGUUCCCCAAUCUUGAAAAAUGGAGGGUGGAGAAAGGAAGUAUGCCUAUCCUUUCAUACUUGCUUAUUGAAAGUUGUAACAAGUUGAAGGAGCUUCCAAAAGGCCUGGUGUUCCUCAACUCCCUUCAAGUAUUAAGAAUAUACCAAAUGCCUCAAGAUUUCAAUGAUAGGCUUACAAGGAAUGAUGGUGACGAGGGACCUGACUUUCACAAAAUAUCUCAUGUCGAUCCGUAGAGUCCGUAUAGAUAAUGAUCAGGAAUACAACUGAACGUUCUUGUAAGUUCCUAAGUUGUAACGUUUUUGUUUUGGUCUUGAAGAACAGAUUGUUUGAGAAACAAAUCAGAGAUAUUAUUAUAAUAUAUAGUAAUAAUUUUUUGAUGAGAAUAAAGGAGGUGAGAUCAACCUUAUUUAAACUGAUUGCUUCCUAAGGUUAAAUGACACACAUGCAUAUGCUCGUUAGGUAUUGUGUAAUCUCUCUAUUUUUAUUAAUAAAAUACCUCUAUUUACCUGAUAAUAUCUUCACUCCAUCUACAUACAUCAAAAGUAAUUCAUUUUUUUUGUCUUAUGUUGAUUCUGGGCCUUGGAAUGGAAUAACAAACACACGCAGAUGAGUAUAAUUCAAAGUAAUCUUCUUUUGAAUGUAGUUUAUAAUUCACUUUAAUUUUUUUAGGAAAUGAGCAAUAAUAUUGAAGAUUGUCAAAUUCUGGAAGAUUCGCCAUCUGAGGAUUCAUUGUCUACCAAUUUACAAGAUACCUACACUGCUGAAUUGGAUAUAGAGGAUGGUACACGAGCAUUUUUCAUGUCUCAUGAAGAUAUGUUAUUUCAAUCACAAGAAGAAGCAUAUAAUUUUUAUAACAGCUUUGGUUUGACUAAAGGAUGUGCAAUAGGUAAAUUUUAUAUAUACAAGUCUUAUGGUGAGAAGAACUCUUGUAUCUGAUAGAGAAGGUUUCAAAAACAAAAUAAGAGGAUGAUAGUGAGGACAACAUAAAACGACGUCGAGAAACUAGAUGUGGUUGCAAAGGUUCAAUGGAAAUUAUCCUAAAGAAAUUAGGGACAUGGAAAAUGAAAAAAAAAUUAAUAAUAUCCAUUCACAUGACUUGCUCAAGAGUCCGAAUAAGAAAAGAAAAUUAAGGUCUCAGAACAAGUUUCAUUAAGAUGCAACUUAUAAGAAAUUGAUUGAUAAAUUUAGUAGUUGCGGAGUUGGGCCAACAAAAAUAUCAGGCAUUAUAAAUACUGCUAGUGGUAGUGUUACAGAUGUCAUGACACCCCAACAAUAUUCUGAAGAGUUAAGAAUUAAGAGAAGAUAUUCAGAAUCAAGAGAAAAAAUAACAUCGGCAAGGAGUGUAUAAUUAAUGUAGUGCAGAUUAUUUUUAGAGAGGAAAGCAAGAUAUUCUGAAUUUUAGUAUGCCAUUCAACUUGACGAACAUGGCUGUACGUAGAAGUAUUUUCUGGUGUUAUGCCAGAGCGAGAAAAAUUUUAUAAGAAAAUUUCUAAUGUGAUAGUAUUAAUCGGGACUAAUACAAUUUAUUGUAGGAAUGGAGUCUUCUCAAAGAAGUGAAAGUACGAAUUCGUUUUUUGAUGGUUAUGUCAAUAGCAAUACUCCUUUGUCUAUAUAUAUUGACACGUAUGAAAAAGAAAUUACUGGCCAUCGUGAUAGAAAAGAGAUAGCGGAUUGGAUUAAUUAGAACACUGGCAAUGCAUGCCUUGGCAUCUCAGUUAGCUGUAUAUUCAUCAUCUCAUCACGAAAGGGCAGCUAUUUUGAGCGGAUGCGGAUCAAGCAAUAUUAGUUUUACUGGGGGUAAUCGCAUGACUCUCCUAGCCGUUCCACAGGGAGCUAUUUUAUCACUGAAUAGCUCUAAUGACCCAUCACCAAUAGCUUUUGUUUAAGCUCUUCUACCUUUUUUUCUGAUUCAUCCCAUAUCUAUGUCAAGUUCACGUAGCAUCACUCAUGGGGCGCACUACAAUUCCUUGUUGAAAUAUUCACGAACAGGAAGUAUGUAUUAAUAGCAAUGAGUGAUGCUAUUGUUCCUCUGGCAAGUGGUAUAGAAGAGCUUUUGCGCCAUGUUUCUUCACUGAAGAGUUUUGGUGUUCAUUUAAUAAUCAAAAUUGUCAAUAAGAUUUCCUUAAUAGGGGACUCUAGGCUUACUGUGCCCUCAGAAAAAGUCGAUGGGAGUACUUCAAUGAAGAACGCACCUGGUAUGCUUGAAAGCUAAAGUUUAUAAUCUAUUAUGUCUUAUUCUUCAUUACAAUUAAUAAAUCAUCGAUCUUUCAUACGCAAGUAUGGUAAUUUAUGGGGGUUCUACUGUAUUAGACUAUUAGGUGUUGUAUUAGAUGCUGAAUUUCUUAUCUCAGUUAUUAUUUAAUAAGCAUGUAGGAUAAAUUAUUGUCGAUGAAGGUGAUGCAAAAAAGAUGUAUACCGGGUCAUUUUAUAAUUGUUUAGUAAUUUACCCUAGAAGUCCACGAGCUACUCGGUUGUUAAUUAAACUUUGUUUUUACAUGCUCAUCGUUUAGUAAUUUACCCUAGAAGUCCAUGAGCUAAUCAGUUUGUUAAUUAAACUUUGUUUUUACAUGCUCAUCGUUUAGUACUUGAUGAUUGUCAUUUAUUUGGGAAUUGAAUAAUGAAUUAAUAUUUAUAUACACAAAUAGGUUCAUAUCUAUUAAUCGGCUCUAGUUUAACUAUCAGGUUUUAUAAUUGUAAACACUACGCCAUAAAAGGCCUAUCGCAACGCGACCUUUGUAAAUGUUGCUAAAAAAUGUUACCUUAGCUACACUACUUUCACCCUUCCGCAACAUAAUAUUUUUCAUGUUAGCUUAGCCAAAAAGGGGAUGUUGCCUUUGUUAGAAAGUGUUUAAGGGUGCAACAUGGAGACAAAUAUGUUAGCUUAAGCUAUUAAAAUGUGAAAAUAAUAUUUUAACUUAAAAUUAAAGAAAAAAGUAAUUACUUGUAUUAAAAAUAAAAAUAGAAGUUAUGUAAUAAUAUAAACUAAAAAUAUAAAAAAUUAUAUAAAAUAUUAAAUAAUUUAAUAGGUGAAUGAUUUUAUUUUAAAUAAUAAAUAUAUGUUUAUUUAUUUAAAAAGUAAAAUAAAAUGUAAACAAAAAAAUAAAAUAUAAACUAAAUAUAUGUAUAUAUGUUUAUUUGAACAAGCGGGCGUGGUUCCCGGUGAAAUCAGACAAGCAGCGGGACUUUGUUUCACUAACACCCCGCCCCAUUUUUUCACUUCCUUUUCCACUCACACUCAGUCAUCUCUCAUUUUCCACACAGUCCUCUCUCGCUCUUCACCCCCACAUCUCGUCUCUCUCUCUCUCUUUUCACCCCCACAGUCGCCUCUCUCUCUUUUCACCGUGUCUCUCUCGUCGCUCUGGUCUCUCUGGUCUCUCAUCAGCACAUCUCUCUCAUCUCAGGUUUGGAUUUCAAGUUAGGGCAUGGUUUGAGGGCUCGAUGCUUUGAUACUCCUAACUAGGGGUUUCUCUCUUUAAAUCAGGGCUUCAUUUCUUUAUUUUCUUCCAUUUACAGGUCUUUCUUCUUUUAAACUACAUCUAAUCGUACUUUAUCUUUGAUUUCAGGUAUUUUCAGCGGAGGCUUUGCAUUUGGAAUUAGGUAUGGUGGCUUUGAUUUAAUUUUUUUCAUUUGUAUAUAGUGGGGGCUGUUAAUCUAACUUUAUUUUCUAUUUUCAGGGCUUCUUCGGUUGAUUUUAAGGAUUUCAUUUAAAGGAUUUAAAAUUAGGGUUUCAGUUUAAAGAUUUUGCUACAGGUAUCUCCCUCUCUGCUUCAACAUUUUUGAGUUUUUGGGUUUGUUUUUGUUGUUAUUUGUUUUUAUUAGGGAAGUUAUCUGAUUUUUGUUUUUAUUAGGGGUUUGGAAUUGCAUUUUAUGAAUCUUUGUUGUUUUCAUUUUGUGGCAUUUGUUAUUUGUUGCAUUUUGUAGUUAAUAUUUGUUACUAGUUAACAUUUGAUUUAUAUUUUGUGGUAAGUGUAUGUGUCCAGGACUUGUUAUUAAAUAUUUAUGCUUGAAAUAGGUUGUUCUGGUGACCAGUUAUGACUCUGUUUUGUGGUUUCUAUAUGUAUGCUCUGUUUAUAACUUAAAAAAUUUGACAAUUAAGAGUAGCUGGUGUUGAUUCUCUGUUGAACAUUUGUAUAUUUUUGUGCUCUGCUGCCAUACAUGUAAGAUUCCAUUGUAGAUAUUGUGAGCUAGUUGGUUAGAUGCCAUAACAUAUUAUCUUGGCUCAUAAACUCUAUGUAUACUCUAUAUAUAACUUAAGGGAAUUGCGAUAAAUUUCUAUGUAUGACUUACCUGAUUAAAAGAAUAUUGUUGUUAAUGAUUUGUAUGAUUAAUAAUAUGCAUGUGUUUGGUCUUAUAUUUGAAAGUGAAACUAUAAAUUAUGACAUAUAUGUAGAAUUAAAAGUAGAAUUGCAAAUUUUUUUGGAUAAAAUGUUGCAGUAGCCUAUUUAAAUGUUGCAAAACUUGUAUUUCAAAACUGUUGCAGUAUAGGAAAAAUAUGUUGCCAAUUUAGCUGCUGCCACCUGGCAACUUGAUGGCCCCCACGUGGGCCCCACAGUGGCCCCCACGUGGGCCCCACAAUGGCCCCCACGUGGGCCCCACUUUUUUAAAAAAAUAAAAUUACUCUAAGGUAACAUAAUUUUUUGUUGGAGUAGGAGAAUAAAAUGUUAGAUUAAACACUCUUUGCUAACAUAUCUCGGUUGUUGCUGUAGGCAAACGAUAUGUUGCCUUAGACCCCCUAAGGCAACGGCAAAAAUCCUAUCAUAAAAUAAAUGUUGCCUUAGCCCUUUUAUGGGCCUUUAGCAACAUAUUGACCCCAUUCUGCAACAAUUUUUUUAUGUUAGAUAAGGCCUUUUAUGGUGUAGUGAAACUCGAUGCGGCUAGCUUGAGUAAACUCGACGCGGCUAGAUUAGUAAAUUCGACUUGACUUACACAAGAAGUGAGCGGGAGUCGAAUAAUAUAUAUAUUCGAGAAAACAAAGGAUAAACACAUAACUUGGAUUAUCUAAUAACGCUUAACUCGACUCACACUUAUUUAUUGUGCUAGCAAUGCAAACUUGGACUCUAACUAAUAGGGUUAGUUAUCACUAGGUCACUUUUUACACCAGAUAAUAUCAAGUGAUCACUCGAAAAUUUUUGGGCUCAUUUCAAUCACUAAAGUUAUAAAAAAUAUUAAAUAUUUACCUCUAAUAUAUUUUCGAGAAGUAAACUUUAUUUUUCACUGAAUUCCAUACAUUUUUCUUGUAUGUUAGUAUAGUCAAAUGAAAGGUUAUGAAUUUCAGUAUUUAUGAUAAUAUAUUCAGAUUUUAAAAAAUUUAUUUUCUAUUUAUUUUUAAUUUUACAAUUUUUUUUGUUUAACUUAAAUCAAAUAAAUAAGUACCCCAUCCGUGCUUUUACAUAUAAUCAAGCUCUCAUGGACCACAGAUGGGUUGAUGCCAUGAAUAAAGAGCUUCAUGCUCUAGAAACAAACAAUACCUGGCAAGUAGUUUCACCUCCCCCAAAUAAAAAGGUCGUUGGUUGUAAGUGGGAUUAUAAGGUAAAAUACUUGUUAGAUGGCUCUUUAGACAAAUUCAAGGCAUGCCUCGUUGCUAAGAGAUACACAUAGAUUGAAGGGCAGGAUUAUCAUAAUACCUUAUCACCUGUAGCUAAGAUGGCUACAGUUCAGACUGUCCUGGCAUUAGCCACUGUCAAACAUUGGGACAUACACCAGUUGGAGGUCAAUAAUGCGUUCCAUCAUGGUGAAUUAUCUGAAGAAGUUUAUAUGGAACUUCCUCAAGGUCACCCUGUUCAUGGUUCUGGUCUUGUUUGCCGCUUAAUCAAGUCUAUAUAUAGUUUGAAGGAAGCAUCACAGUUAUGGUUUGAGAAACUUGCUUCAGUUUUGCUUGACCUUGGGUUCACUCAAAAUAGUUGCAUAAUACUUUUUAUUUGUCAACAAAACAGAUGUUGUUUUUAUAGUUGCCCUACUUUAUGUCGGUGACACAUAUACUUCUCACUGGUAACAGUAGUGAGUUUAUUUCUCAUGUCAAAUCUGUUUACCAUUCUACUUUCACCAUCAAAGAUUUGGGCUUAGCCAAGUACUAUCUUGGUCAUGAGAUACACAGAACUACAGAAGGUCUGUAUUUUCACCAGCACAAGUUCGUACAUGAUAUUCUUCUCGAAGCAGGUUUGGAACAUUGUAAUCCCUUGUCUUUGCCUGUUGAUCACACCAUUAAACUUUCACCCACUGAUGGUGAACUUUUAUCUGAACCCACCAUUUAUCAAAAGUUUGUGGGGAAGUUGCUUUACCUAACCGUUCAAGGCCUGACAUUACAUAUGUUGUACAUCAUUUGAGCCACUUUUUGCAAAAUCCUCGUGUACCUCAUAUGUUGGCAAUGCAAUGUGUUUUACGUUACUUAAAAGGUACACCCUACCAAGGCUUGUUCUACUCUGCAAAUACUACCCUCAAACUUCAGGCGUAUUGUGACAGUGACUGGGGGUCUACAUUGGAUUCUUCUGGUAUGCUGACAAGCAUCACUAGCAUGUGUUUUACUUUGGGAUCUUCUUUUGUUAACUGGCUUUCCACCAAGCAGAAGGUCGUUUCUCGAUCCACAGCUGUGAUUGAACUCGGGGCUGUUGUAGAUACUGCAUGUGAGGUUUCUUGGUUCAAUCUGCUGUAAGGUGAACUCCAAGUACCUCAGUCUUUGCAUGUUGUAAUUCAUAGUGAUAACCAGGCCGCAUUAGAUAUUGCUGCCAACCCGGUUUUUCAUCCUCGUUAUCUUCCUCGUGCAUCUCAGCUGGCUAAUAUUUUCACAAAAUGCUUGGGGCGAUCAGCUCAUUGGCAUGUAUUAUCUAGAUUGAAUGUUUCACAUCCACCUUCAAUCUGAGGGGGCUACUACACUGCUUAUCACCAGAACUCCACUAUCUCUUAUCAAGGCUACUUAUCAUAACCGUUUUAUAACAGAAUUCUGUAUAUAGUGCGGAUAGCUUGUAGUUGUUUCUCCAAUCUUCUCUAUAACAAACAUUUUUCUCUCUUCAAUAAUGUGAAUAUGUUAAAGUCAAUACUAGUCCCAAGUAACCCCAAAGUCUAAGAUAGAGCUACCAAUUUUUUGGUUUCUAGUUAUGUAGUCCAGCAGUAUAAUAAAGGCAACUACAAGUUUCUGGUUGUAUAGUUUAUGGUUGAACUAUUAUAUGAUUAUACAAUUCAACGGCUUAGAUUAUGUCUGGUAUAUAUAUUGUAAGGUGUAUUUGGGCCUGUUAAACAGCCAUCAAUCGGCGGAAUGCGAUAUAUGGUUACAUUUAUUGUUAAAGCAAUGUUUGCUUUAAAGAUUUAAUCGAAGGAGAGUCGACCCACAAAAUCAAGUGCUUACGUAUAGACAAUGGAGGAGAGUAUAGCUCAAAGGAGUUUAGUCAAUAUCUACGAGCUAAUAAAAUCCGUCAUCAAUUUACAUGUGCAAACACACCCCAGCAAAACGGUGUUGCAGAGAGGAAAAAUCGACAUCUUGCUGAAAUAUGUCGAAGUAUGUUACAUGCUAAUAACGUGCCUGGAAAAUAUAGGGCUGAAGCUAUAACUACGGCAUCUCUUGUCAUUAACAAGCUUCCUCAACCAAGGCUGGAUUUCGUCACGCCUUUUGAAAAAUUAUGGACAAAGAAACCUGCUGUAAGUUAUCUUCGGGUGUUUGGUUGUGUUUGCUAUGUAUUUGUUCUUGAUCAUUUACGUAGCAAGAUUGAUAGGAAAGCAGUCAGAUGUAUCUUUGUGAAAUACGACAAUCAACGAAAAGGAUGGAAGUGUUGUGAUCCAACAACCGGAAGAUGUUACACAUCACGUAAUGUGGUUUUUGAUGAAGCAUCUUCGUGGUGGACUUCAGAGAAAGAAAUAGCGCCUAUCACUGAAGAAUUUGAGAAAAAGAUGGAACAAAAGAUGAGUGAGCAUAUUGUUCAAAUUUUUCCAAGUUCAGAUGGAGAUAUACGUAAUGAUGAUGAGCCAAACGUCACAAAAAAUCCUUGUAAAUCUGGUAUGUAUUAACAACCAGAUGAAAGCUAUAAUUCUGGUGAAGAAUCAGCUCCAUAACGAAGGUCAACAACAACUCGGAGGGCAAAUGUUAGAUAUGCUAAUGCAGCAAUAAUCGAAGAAAUAGAACCUGAGACGUUCGAAGAAGCAUCACAAAAAUCAAAAUGGAUAACAUCUAUGAAAGAUGAGAUCAAUUCCCUUCAAGAGAAUCAAACUUGGGAAUUAGUGUCAAAGCCACACGAUGUGAAACCUAUAUUCUGCAAAUAGGUUAACAAAAUAAAGCGCCGUCCAGAUGGGUCGGUUGAGAGACAUAAGGCUCGACUAGUAGCUUGUGGCUUCUCUCAGCAGUACGGACUAGACUACGAUGAAACGUUUAGUCCGGUGGCAAAACUCACAACUGUAAGAGUCUUGCUUGCAUUGGCGGCUAACAAAAAUUGGAAGUUGUGGCAAAUGGAUGUGAAGAAUCCCUUUUUAAAUGGAGAGUUGGACCGAGUGAUUUACAUGAAUCAACCAAGUGGUUUCGAAAGUGUAACUCAUCCUAAUUUUGUUUGCAAACUCAGAAAAGCGCUUUACGGAUUAAAGUAGGCACCAUGUGCGUGGUACGGGAAGAUAGAUGAGUUUUUAAGCCUACGUGGUUAUGUGAUGACACAGUCAGAUUCUAGUUUAUUUGUUAAAAUAAGAGAAGGGAAGUUGGCAGUGUUGUUGGUAUACGUAGAUGAUUUAAUCAUUACAGGAGAUGACAUCAAAGAAAUUUUUCAAAUAAAGAAAAAUUUAUCAGUCCAUUUUCAGAUGAAAAAACUAGGAGAGCUCAAGCACUUCUUGAGAUUAGAGGUUGAUCAUACUGAAAAUGGGUUGUUUCUUUGUCAACAAAAGUAUGCUACAGACUUACUAAAAAGGUUUGGCAUGCUUGAAUGUAAGCCAAUAUCAACACCCAUGGAACCAAAUGCGAAAUUAUGUGCUAAUGAAGGAAAAGAUUUGCAAGAUUCAUCAAUGUAUCGACAAAUAGUAGGUAGUCUAAUCUACUUGACUAUAACCCGACCUGAUAUAUCAUAUUCAGUUGGUGUGAUAAGUCGAUACAUGCAAAAUCGAAUGAAGUCUCACUUAGAAGCUGUUCGAAGAGUACUCAGAUAUAUAAAAGGUACUGUAAGUUAUGGUCUGAUGUACAGGAAGGGUGAAGAUUGUAGUGUGCUUGGAUAUUGUGAUGCUGACUACGCAGGAGAUCAUGAUACUUGUAGGUCAACUACAGGGUAUAUGUUUAUGCUUGAAUCUAGGGCAGUUUCUUGGUGUAGUAAGAGACAACCAACAGUGUCUCUGUCAACAACAGAUGCCGAAUAUCGGGCAGCUGCAAUGGCAUCUCAAGAGAGCACAUGGCUGAUCCAACUAAUGCAAGAUUUGCAUCAGCCAGUAGACGCGGAAAUUCCACUCCUUUGUGAUAAUCAAUCAGCAAUUCGUUUGGCUGAAAAUCCAAUGUUUCAUGCAAGGACAAAAACAUGUUAAAGUACAUUAUCAUUUUCUUCGAGAAGAAGUUUUGCAAGGAGAGAUUGCAAUGAGACAUAUUGCGACACGUGAACAAGUUGCAGAUAUGUUUACCAAAAGCUUAAGUCCAGGAAAGUAUGAGAAGUUUCGCUGCCAACUGGGAGUUGUUCAGAGAAUGGGAACUAAAACAUUGAUGGAGAGUGUUAAAGUCAAUACUAGUCCCAAGUAACCCAAAAGUCUAAGUUACAGCUACCAAUUUUUUGUUUUUUAGUUAUGUAGUCCAGCAGUAUAAUAAAGGCAACUACUAGUUUCUGGUCGGAUAGUUUCUGAUUGAAUUAGUAUAUGAUUAUACAAUUCAAUGGCUUAGAUUAUGUCUGGUAUAUAUAUUGUAAGGUGUAGAUGAUUUGCUGGAACCUAUAAAUAUCCUUUGUAUCUGAGUUUAUUAAUAUAACAAGUAACAGUUUGUUUCUUAAGUCUAGAGAGAAAAGAUCAGUUCAUACUUGUUAGUGUAACUAGUGCGUUCUUAUUCUAAAGAGAGAAGAGUGAAUGCAGAGAGUGUUUUCUACAGAAUAUACCUGUGUUGUGUUAGUGUACUGAAGCUCAGUUUCAAGCUUUAAUGGCGUUUAUAACAACUUAAGAGUGAUAGAAUCUAAACAAGCCAUUUUAUGAGCAUGAUUAUCUCCCAAGACAGUCCGCAGUUGUGAUUUAGCACGCAACACAAAGAGAUGCAAUAACAAUAUGACUAGUGAGUGAGACUUGAGAUUUAGACCUGCAAUAUCACUUUAUACCCAAAGUUGAGACUCAUGUCUAACACUAAAAUUUUCUGUAAACAUAUUAAUUAUUUUGAUAUAGGGGUUAUUAGAUUUUAAUAUUGGUCCCUACUUGAUACCCAAAUAUCUUAUGAAUUACUCCCUCAAUCUCAUAUUAUGUGUCCAAUUUUGACUAUUAGAUGAUCAAUUUAACUAAACUUUGACCAUUAACUAAACAAAAUUUAUUAAUUAUUUUAAAAUUUUAAAAAUUGGAUUUUGAAGGGGAUUAGAUAUAUUUUUUAAUAAAGUAAGUUUUCAAUCUUUUGAAGUCGGAUAAUAUCUGUAAUUUGUGUUCAAAGUAUAGUCAAUUUGACUCUUCAAUAGUCAAAACAAAACACAUAAUAUGAGAUGGAGGGAGUAAAAAAAUUUAUCACCUUAGAGAAUAUUAAUUUAUAGGAUUUCACUAUAUUAGAUGUUGAAUUUCUUAUUUUAGUUAUUACUCCCGAUGUCCAAGAGAGUCGCUUUAACUCUUUACACGUAAUAUGAGAUGUAAGAAGACAUAUUUUUCAUAUUAUUUUUCAAAAAAAUUUUUUGUGAAUAAAAAUAUAGAUGUUAAAUUUUUAUUUAGAAAAUGAAACUUUGAAAAAUAAUAUAUAGAUAUAUGAUGUGUUUUUUACACCUAUGGGAUCGAUGGAAUAUUUAGUAAGCAAGUAGGGUUAAUAAUCGUCGUCGAAGGUGGUGCAAACAAUUAUGAAUGCCGAGUCAUUUUGUAUUUGUUUAGUAAUUUAUGGUAGAAGUCCACGGGCUAAGGGGUUGUUAAACUUUAAUUUUACAUGCUCAUCUUUUAGUAUACAACUAGUGAAAAAAGCCGCGCUUCACGGCGGCGUGAUAAAUUUUGAUAUGAAUCCGUAUUAUAAUAUUAUAAAUAUUAUUUUGAGUCAUCUUCCCGUUAAACAUAUCACAAAUAAAAAAUGUUAUAAUUGACGUAAAAAUUUGUUUAAGUGGUCAUCCUAUCAAACAUAAUACUAAUAAUAAAAUUAGUUCGAACCCCCUUCCGUCAAAGACAAUAUUAAUCCAUAAUUAUUAUUUAUAUGAUAAAAUUAAAUAUUAUAAUUUAGAUCGAAAUUAGUUUGAGCUUCUCUCUUAUCAAACACAAUACUAAUAACAAAACUUUAUAAUUUAAAUAUUAGUUAGAGUCUCUUUACUGUCAAACACAAUACUAAUAAAAAUUAUUCUAAUUAUAAUAAAAUUAAAGAUUAUAAUUGGAUAAAAAAUAUUUUGAACUGUGACAAAAAAAAUAUUAUAACAUAGAUAAAAAAUUAUUUUAGCCACUUUCCCGUCAAAAAUAAUACUCUUAGAAAAAAUUAUUAUUAUUUAGAUAAAAAUUAGUAUGGGCCGCCUCCCGUGCCCGUCAAAUACAAUACUAAUCGAGAAUCAUUUUACAUUAUCAUAAAAUCAAUAUAUGAUUCCUAUUUUUUAUAUCCUAUUUUUCUUUAUUUGUUAUUUUUAUUUUAUGAUUUCUAUUUAUUUGUUAAAAAUAUUAUUCGUUUAUGGUUCUUUUUUUUUUUUGCUAUUAGUUUUUUUUAUGAUUAUUAUCUUUAUAAUCUUUUAUUUCUAUUCAGAAAUUUAAGAAAAUCCGCGAUCUGAGGGGAAAUUGAAAGAGAUAAUUAAUGAAAAUGAUGAAAUUAGACGCAUGGAGGUUGUUAAUUACAUGUUCGUACCUCGCUUCGACAUCUUGAUCGAUCCGUUAUCUCUCUCGGGAUCUCUCCCUGAGGCGCCGUUGAUGAGGGGAGGAGGGGUUUAUAUGGAGAUCGGGCUUGUGUAGGUUUUAAGUGAAUAUUACUUCGUCAAUAAAACGACAUCGUCAGGUUCACUUUCUUGGGAGGGAAUUUGGUCGCCGCCGGUGCUCAAUAAAUAAAUUAAAUUAUAAAUUUUUUUAUUUGAAAUUUAAGAAAAUUAUUAGAAUAAAUCGGAAAUAUAAAUAGUAUUUAUUCUAUGAUUGUUAGUUUGAAUAAAUAUAAUCCUAUUAAUUCCUUUUGGGAUACGUAAAUAAGAAAAAAACUGAAUUAUAAAUAAAUAUUCGAUAGAGAUGAGAAGAUUGCAAUCACUACUUUUUGAAAAAAAAUUACAAAAAAAAUUAUAAAUUUAUAACUUUUGAGAAUAAGAAUCGUACUCUUUUUAAUAAUUUUUAUAUUAAUAUAUAAUUAACAAUAAGAAUUGUAUUACCCUUAUGAUUCCUGAAUUGGAAAAAGAAUUGUAUUACAUUUGGAACUCAAUAAGAAAAGAAUUGUAUGACCUUUAGAAUUCUUAAACAUGAUUUUUUGAAUUAUAACUAUAUUUUUCUCCGAAAUUUAAGAAAAAUCAGAAGACUGAAUCGAGCUAUUUUAGAGACGCCCGCAUUCUCCUUUAUAUACUUUAGAAUUCAAUACGAAAUACUAAAUAAGAAAAGAAUUGUAUCAUCUUUAGAAUUCAAUAUGAAAAGAAUUGUAUUACUUUUAGAAUUCUUGAACAUGAUUUUUUGAAUUAUAAUUAUAGUUUCUAUCCGAAAUUUAAGAAAAAUUAGAAGACUGAAUCGAGCAAUUCUAGAGACGCCUGCAUCCUCCUUUAUAUAUAUAUAUUGAUGAUCGUCAUUCAUUUGAAAAUUAUAUAAUAAAUUAAUAUUUAUAUACACAAGUAGGCUAGUAGUACUUGUAUUAAUCUGCUGGCUCCAUCAGUUCAGCUAUCAUUUUCUUAAUUGUACGUCAAAGGGGAAUAACAGUUAACAAUUAUAGAGAAUCUGAUGUGCAAAUACGCAAGUCACUUCAUCAUUAUUUAGUACUUAGUUGUACAACUAUGAGCUGAUUAGGGCUGUUCACGAACCGAGCCGAGCCGAGUUUUGACCGAGUCGAGCCGAGCUUUAAAUUUUUUCUUAUCGAACCGAGCCCACCCGAGCUUUCUUAUCGAACAAAAAAGUGUGUUCGAGCUCGAGCUCGAUAACUAACGAGCCGAACACGAGGUUGUUCACGAACAAAUACGAGCCGAGUCGAGCCGAGCCGAGUCGAGCUAGAGAAAAAUAAGGCCAAACCGCUACUUUACUCUUAAAAUAGCAAGCCAAAUAAAAUUUUUAGUAUGUUUUGAUGGUACCAUAUUAUAGUUGAUAUUCUCAUGAUCGAUUUGAUAUAUUAUAUGUUGAAUUCGGCGUUCAAUAACAUAUAUAUAUUACGAAAUUAUUAUGAAAAUAUUCUUUUUUUUCGAGCUUUAACGAGCCGAGCUCGAGCCGAACAUACUAAAAGCUCGGCUUGAGCUCGUUUUCUUAACGAACAAUUUUUUGUGUUCGAGCUCGAGCUCGUUAACUUAACGAGCCGAGCCGAACGAGCUCUUAACAAGCCGAGCUCGAGCUUGUUCGCGAACAGCUCGGUUCGUUAAACAGCUCUAGAGCUGAUCGGUUGUUGAACUUUGUUUUCACAUGCUCCUAAAUUAACAUAUAAUGAUUGUCAUUGUUUAGUAAUCUGCAGGCUUCAUGCAGCUCAACUCCUUUAUGAAGAGUUGUUUGCUUUCUGCAGAAGAGUAACAAAUUUCAAUGGCUGAAGCAAUUGUGUCUAUUGUUGUGGGAAGGCUCACUGAUUUGUUGAUUGAAAAAGCUCAUAUCCUUCAUGAAGUGAGAGAUGAAAUUGAAGUCGCCGUAGCUGGGCUCAUGCGGAUGAAAACAUUCUUACCAGAUGCUGAUUCAAGGAUCGAUGUAGAAAGAAUCCGGAUUUUGCUCCGCGAUGUACGAGAGCUUGCCUAUGAUGCUGAACAUGCUGUCGAAAGUUUUGUUAUCAAAGCCUCAUCUACUAAAAAAUCAUUUCAGUGGAUGAACAGAGGCAUGUUUUCAAGAAAGAUAAAAAAUAUACAAAAAAAGAUGUCCAUCUUCUUCGAUUUAUUUUCUGAUUAUAAUAUCAGACCAACUUCUGAAUCAUCAACUUCCUCCAACAGAGAAUCGGGAAAACUAAAGCGAUUUCACUCUUUCACUACUCCUGAACCAGAGAUAUUUGUUGGAUAUCAUAAAGACGUUGAACGCUUGGUGCGACGUUUGGUGAAUGAAGCUGAUGAUUCUUACCCACUUAUAUCUAUUUGUGGAAUGGGGGGUCUGGGAAAGACCACUCUCGCUCAAAAGAUAUACAAUCACUCUGCCAUCAAGACUCACUUUGCUGGUUUAGCAUGGGUAACAAUCUCGCAAAAGUGGCAAACAGAUCGUGUGUUGCAAAGAAUUCUCAUAUGUCUCGUCCCUGAGAACAAAGAGUCUAUCCUUAAUAUGGACACUGACAAGCUAGUGGAGUAUAUGCUACAAAUCCAGGAAAGGAAGAAAUGUUUGAUAGUUCUCGAUGAUAUAUGGUCACCUCAUGCUUGGGAUGCAUUAAAAGCUGCAUUUCCAGCCGGGAAGUCCAUGAGCAAAUUAAUGCUUACAAGCCGUAAUGCUGAGGUUGCUGAGCAUGUAAAUUUAAACGGAUUCAUUCACAAACCAAAAAUUUUAAGUCCGGAACAAAGUUGGGAGCUACUCAAGUUGAAAGCACUUCACACAGGAAACUAUCUAGGUUCAUAUACUUCUUUUGAUCAUAUACUGUUUUUUACCAUAUGUUUUGUCCGGGAACCUUAACCAACCAUAUUUUUUGUUACUUGAGUUCGAUAAGUUUGGUUAGAGAUCUGUCCAAAAAUCUUAAAGAACAUUGUUCUCUCAAACAUUUUGUUCGUGUUCGUUUGAAUUCGGCUCGUUUACAAAUCUAUGUAUAAGAAUUGUAAACGAAUCUAACGGUUCAUUAAGCGUGCUCUUGAGGUUGAGUUAGCAAACUCGAGUUCAAACCAAAUAUUUUAAACAUAUUAGUUAAACGACUAAAUUAUAAAUUAUCUUGGCUUGUCUGUGUGGGUCUAUAUAUAUACACACACAUAUGAUUCAUGUUUCUUGUGUGCUGCAGACAUUACCAGAGAUGUAAAAAGGAUGGAAGAACUGGGAAGGGAAAUGGUUGAACAUUGUGCCGGUCUUCCGCUAGCUAUAGUCAUUUUGGGUGGAAUUUUGGUAACAAAACCGUCGUUGAUAGAGUGGGAGAAGGUAUAUCGUGAUAGUAAAUCAUCCCUAAAGGCGGGGAAAGGACUGGGAGAAGCCUAUCAAAGGGGAAUAGUAAGUGUUUUAGUUUGGAGUUACAAUGAUUUACCCCCUCAGCUGAAGCCAUGCUUUAUGUAUUUAUCUAAGUUUGGUGAAGAUAAAUGGAUAGAAUCACAGACUUUGUAUCAGCUAUGGAUCGCUGAAGGAAUGGUACUCUCGAGUGACAAAAGAGAAGGAGAAACAAUGAUUCAAGUUGCCGAAUCAUACAUGGGAGAACUAGUCCACAGGAGUAUGGUUCAAGUAAGAUUUAACAACGUGGAAUCAUCUCUUACAAAGUUUGAAGAUUUUUCUCUGCACGACCUUAUGAGAGACAUGUCUUUAAUACAAGCAAAAGCAGAAGAUUUUAUUGAAGAUAUACAUUUCCAAAGUGGAAAUGAGCUUCAUCUCAAAUCUACUGCAGAUUCAAGGUCAGCUUCCACUCGACUUGUGAUUCAUUUGGAUGAGGAAUAUUCUAGCAAAAAAGCUAAUUACUACUUUUCUAAGAAAGGCAAUGAAAAAUGCUAUCGAUCAAUGUUAUUCUUUGGUGACUUUGGUCCGAGAAGUCUGCCACGGGCAUUAAUGGGGUCACAAGUUGCCAAUUUUAGGUUCCUAAAAGUGCUUUCUGUGGAGAAUUAUACCAAUUUUUCUGGUGUGUUUUAUCAUAUUAAUUUUGGAAGAGCAUUAGGGUCCCUUGUUUACUUGCGAUAUCUUAGUGUAAGAGGCAGUAAUUUGUUGGUUCUUCCAUCCGUACAAAGGUUGGUGCUGUUACAAACUCUUAAAUUAAAUACCCAUGAGGGUAUAUAUGUUUUACCAUGGUUGUCAAGAGAUGUUCUGGUGAAGCUGGAUUGUUUGCGGCAUCUGUUUUUGCCUAAAUUUAAAGUUGACGUUUUGAGAAGGAAAUCGAAAUUUCGGUUGAAUGGGUUGUGCAAGUUAGAGACACUGGAGAACUUUGACACAGCUUGGUGCGAGGUUAAUGAUCUACGUGAACUAAUCAAUCUUCGGAAACUAAGGCUAACAGUGGCAGGUAGCUGUGAUAUUCUGGAAGAAGUGAUGAAAAACUUGGGUGAUAUAGCCUCCUCACCAUCUUCAUGUUUGAGGUACUUGGGUGUUUGUAUUGCUUAUUGUGAUAUCGAGCUGAACAAUGGUCUUACUAUCUUGAAACAAUUGGUAUAUGGUGAAAAUUUGAAUCUUAGAGAAUUGAAAAUAUAUGGUCGUAUCCAAGAGGUGGGUCUAAUAUUUCCGCUGCAUGUAUCUACAUCAAUUUGUAUUACAAGAUUAGAUUUAUCGAGAUCAAACCUGGAAGAAGACCCAAUGCCAAUACUGGAAAUGCUGCCAAUGUUGGGUUUUCUCUAUAUGUUUACGAAUACAUUUAUGGGGAAGGAGAUGGUGUGCUCCGCAACCGGUUUUCCUAAACUGACCGAUCUUUAUUUGGACAGCUUCCCUAACCUUGAAAAAUGGAGGGUGGAGAAAGGAAGCAUGCCCAUUCUUUCAUGGUUGCUUAUUCAAAGAUGUAACAAUUUGGAGGAACUUCCACAAGGCCUGGUGUUCAUCAAGUCCCUUCAACUGCUACAAAUAAUCAAAAUGCCUCAAGAUUUCAAUGAUAGGCUUAUAAGAGAUGAUGGUGAAGAGGGACCCGAUUUUCACAAAAUUUCUCAUGUCCGUAGACUCAAUAUCGACGGUCAGGAAUACAAUUGAAUGUUCUUGUGUAAGUUUGUUAGUCAUAGAACUUUUUGUUUUGGUCCGGGAGAACAUAUUGCUUCAUAAGCAAAUGACCAAAAAAGUCUUGUCCAUAUUUUAAAAAGUUAAUAAAACUUUUAACUUUUUCAUUUUAAAUCAGUAAUUUAAUAUGAUUGAUUUAUUUUUAUCAAAAUUAAUACUUUAACUAUUGUUAAAUAAUUAAUAUAUGAAUUCAAGUGAAAUUAUAUUUUAUUUAGUAAUCAAUUUUAUAAACUAGUAUGCUAAUCUAAUUAUAACAGAGAAUCGGGAAAGCUAAAGCGAUUUCCUAAAAGUUGCCAAUUUUAGUUUCCUAAAAGUGUUUUCUGUGGAGAAUUACAGAAAUUUUUCUGGUGCGUUUUCUCUUAUUAAUUUUGGAAGAGCAUUAGGGGCCCUUGUUUACUUGCGAUAUCUCAGUGUAAGAGAGACUAAUUUGUUGGUUUUUCCAUUUCUAAGAAAGUUGGUGCUGCUGCAAACUCUUAAAUUGGAUAUUUUCAACGUGAACUAUGUUUUACCAUGGCUGUCAAGAGAUGUUCUGGUGAAGCUGGAUUGUUUGAGGCAUCUGUAUCUGCCUAAAUUUAAAGUUUACGUUUUGGGAUGGAAAUCGAAAUUUCGGUUUUAUGGGUUGAGCAAGUUAGAGACCCUGGAGAACUUUGAGACUACUUGGUGUGAGGCUAAGGAUCUACGUGAACUAAUCAAUCUAAGGAAACUAACGCUAACAGUGAGAGAUAGCUUUGAUAUUCUGGAAGUAGUGAUGAAAAACUUGGCUGAUCUGGCCUCCUCGCCAUCUUCAUGUCUGAGGUACUUGGGUGUCACUAUUAUUAAUUGUGGAAUCAUGCUGAACAAUGGUCUUACUAUCUUAAAACAAUUGGUACAUGCUGAAAAUUUGAACCUUCGGGAUUUGAAAAUAUAUGGGCGUAUCCCAGAGUUGGGUCUAAUAUUUCCGCUUCAAUAUGUAUCUACAAUUGGUAUUACAAGUUUAACUUUAGCGAGUUCAUGCCUGGAAGAAGACCCAAUGCCAAUACUGGAAAUGCUUCCAAUGUUGGGUGUUCUCCACAUGUUUGGGAGGAAUCCAUAUGUGGGGAAGGAGAUGGUGUGCUCCGCAACCGGUUUUCCUAAACUCACCGUUCUUUAUUUCGUCGGCUUGCCUAACCUUGAAAAAUGGAGGGUGGAGAAAGGAAGCAUGCCCAUGCUUUCAUAUUUGUGUAUUGGAAAAUGUAAGAAAUUGGAGGAGCUUCCACAAGGUCUGAUGUUCCUCAGUUCUCUUGUAGGAAUAUUCCUACAACAAAUGCCUCAAGAUUUCAAUUAUAGGAUCACAAGAGAGGAUGGCGGGGAAGGACCCGACUUUCACAAAAUUUCUCACGUCCCUAGAGUUAGUAUCAACAAUCAAAAUUAUGAUUCUAUGUUUUCCGUAUUCAUGUAAGGUUUUUUCGAUAUUAUGAAAAUCAGUUUUUUGUUUCCCAUACUUGUUAAGUUAUAAUUUACUUUUUAUUAAAACUAGCUUAUAACCCGUGCAGCGGUUAUAAUAUUUGUUAUUUUAUCAUAUAUAGUUUUAAUUUAAUUAAUUUUAUUGUAAAAAUAAAAUUAUGAUAGAAUAAUGUGGUUAAAUAAAUUUUUAUUUAACAGCUGAUAAAUUCUUAAUACGCUAGCGGUUAUAAUAUUUGUUAUUUUAUCAUAUAUAGUUUUAAUUUAAUUAAUUUUAUCGUAAAAAUAAAAUUAUGAUAGAAUAAUGUGGUUAAAUAAAUUAUUAUUUAACAGCUGAAUAAAUUCUUAAUACUUAAGUCCGUCAAAUGACUAAUUAAAAAUUAGGUCAAACAUAUAUUUUGAUGAGAAUGUUAAAUAUAUUUAUUUACAUGUUAUAAUUUAAGGAGAUCUAUAAACCCAUAUAUAAAUCAACCAAUCAACCUCAUAAUAUUUCGUUAGUAAUAAUUAAUAAUAUAGUAUAAAACAUAUUAUAAGUCAAAGAGACGCGUAAUCCCAAAUAUCGAUCCAUUACCUAAUUUUUAAUGUUUUGAUUCGAUAGAUAAUAAAAAAAUAUUAUAACAUAUUAUAAAUUAAUGAGGUCUGUGGGUUGAAUACCAACAGUCUCACCAAACUCGAUUGAUCGACCGACCAACUAACCAAUUGAACUUUUUAUUUUUCGGCUUUCGACUUUAACAGUAUAAUAAUAUAUAGUAUAGUAUAAAUUUAUAAUAUCACUUUUAAUGUGAGACCGUUAGAAUAUUUAAAAAUAAUGUUAAUUAAUUUCGGUUGAAAAAUAUCACCUGUUAUUUAUUAAUAAAUAUAUAUAAUAAUAUUAUGUUUUUAUACAUAUGUCGCUUGUGUUAAUUGUAGAAAAACGAUUUUUUAGUUAGAAAAAAAUAUUUAUCCUGAACUCUAAAUCUUUAAAAUUAAAAAAAAAACAUUUUUUUCAACGGAGAAGUUGUGUUUAGUUUCAAAUUGCAAAAAUACUUUCUUAAAAAUUUUAAAAAGAUUGUAUAUUAUCGAAAAAGAACUCUAAACAUGUGUUAUAUCCUUAAAUUCUAUACUCUCUGGCGCAGAAAAAUAAAUUAUAUUCGAAACAGAUUAUUAAUUUCAACUUAAAGUAGAGAGGUGUUUCGGUGAAGACCCCCGCUUAGUGCACAAUAAAAUAAAUAUACAGUUUGUGAUAUAAUAAGAAUAUAAUAUCUUAGCCAUGUCCUUCUUCACACAGGACUUACCUAAAUAGUUCCUAAUGCAUCUGUGAACUGAGGACUUACCUAAACAGUUCCUAUUAUCACGAAUGCAUCCAUGAACUGAGCUAAUCCUUCAAAACAUAAUGCAACGAACCUCGUAAUCUCUGUAAGCAACGAGACCUAGUCUCAAUUAUUCUAAUAAGUCGUCCCCAAUCAUUCUUAUCUAAUGUCAUAUCACCCGUCCCCAAUCAUUCUUAUCUAAUAUUAUAUCACCCGUGAGAUUCAAAGCUCUCAUGUCCAAACUUAAUUGAUUAGCCCAUGUCCGACGAGGCUGACUUCUCUUUCUCUAGUCAUUCAUUAUUCUUGAGGUGAACAACAGUUAAAAAAAUUCAGAGCCGAGGUAUUCUUACACAGCAAAAUAUCGAUUUAUGAUAAUGUUGGACAGCAGAAAAUGAAAAGGAAGUAAUAUUUCACUAACCAUAUGUGAUAUCCAAUCCCAACAUUGAAAAUUGCUCACUCGAGAGAGACUAUUUUAGUAUCUCAUUCAUUAUUCUCGAAAUGGACAAGUGUUAAAGGAAUCCCGGAGCCACAAAUAUAACAGCAUAACGACAGAAUAUUAAUUUAUGAUAGUACUGGACAGCAGAAAAUCGGAGGAAGUAAUUUUUCACUAGCCAAUAUGUGAUAUAUUUUCAUGCUGCCAACACAACAGAGUACAUUGUUGCCCUCAGGUUGCAACAAAACACAAAACUAGGACACUUCUAACCCUCGACUCCACCCAUUGUUCAAACUUUUUCUUUGUAAUAUUUCUCUUUAUAAUAGAACACUUCUGGUUUUUCUUUUCUUUAUAGUUAAACUACAAUAUAUACAGCGGUUAGGACUGGGAAACUGCUUUCUUCAAGACGCUGAAGGCAACGAGCAUAAGCAGUGAUAUCAUAAUCUUCUUUGAAGCAAGAAUCCGCAAGUUCACCUUCAUGCCAUGGUCUCUCAUGAGCUUCACUGUUGCCCUAAUUACUGAAAUAAGCCAGAAUACAACGGACAAGAACACCACUUUCAUUGUGUCUGCAGGUCCGUUCACACUUCUUGUGCCUCCCGACACCUCGAUGUAGGACUGUUUUUACCAAAAUUUGCGGGUUAAAAGCCAAGCCUAUUUAAUUUCUAUAACAAUGGAGUAUGUGUUUUUAUGUAUGAAUAUUUAGUAGAUCGUAUAGAUAAAUAUCGAAAAGAAAAUCAAAGGCAAGAACACAAACAAUUUUGGUGACGCGGAAAACCCCUUGUAAAAGGUUAAAAACCGCGGGUGGGAAUGUCCCAGCCAAAUAUCCACUAUAAUGAUGUAACAUCAGCUUACAAGUAUGAGAAAUACAUGAUACAAGUACAUAAAUACACAGACGUCGGCUUCAGAAGUAGUUCAUGUCCGUCAGCAAUAUGCACCCGUUGGCAGCAGGUUAACCUUGACGUUGCACCCGUCGGCAGAAUGAUUUCGGGGAGAUGAAGAUGUAGAGCUCCCUUGAUAGAAGAUGAAGAAGCUUAGCUAUCAUAUGUUAAUGUAUGUAUAUGUACGUGUACUGAUUUGUAUGAUCUUAAGCUUGGUUGAUGCUUUAUGAGUGAUAUGGGGUAGAAGAUGAAGUUGUGGGCAUGUAGAAGUGUGUAGAUGAUAUGUAUCAGUUAUGUACCUCUCUUUUUCAUGAGUAUUUAUACCCCCUCAACACUUAUGCACGUUCCUAGGUUGUUUCUCCACGUUCUCCACUUACUCCUAUAGUUUAGGGAUAAAGAAUAACCUCCUCCUAACUCUUAGGAUCGUUACAAGACUUAUUCUUCAUGCUGUUACGUUCAUGUCGAGUACCUUCACGUCAUGUCGAGUAUCUUCACGUCAUGUCUUAGCCAAGACGUCGAGCAUCAGCUUUGUGUGUAGCUUAAAUAUAUCUUUGGAGAAUGAUUAAUUAGCUUGUAAUUUGAUGAUAUAAUCACUCCCCUAACUCCCAUCAAGAUGUGGCUAUAUUGUAGGAUUAUGAUAAGGUAGUUAUUAUCCUUAUCUCCUAUUUUCCCUCCAUGUGCAUGUUGAGUUUCCUAAAUUAGUGUCACUUAUCCAUUCUCCAAUUUGAAUAAUCUCCUAAAAAGGUGGGUAGUUGAGACUUAGUCUCUUGCCCUAUCAGCCUGCACACGUCGUGUCGUCGGUACUUCAUGUCGUGUCAGUACACUUCCCGUCAUGGCCUGACGCCUGUAAAAUCUGGGUACAAACAAUAGCCCCUAAUUUUAUUGGGUGGAGGCAUGCAGCCAAUGAAAUUACUUCUUGUACACUCCGUUUUCCUCAAACCAUGGCAAAUAAGAACACCGAUGCUAUGUUAAAAUACUAACGAUUGCAACAUGUGAUCAUGUCAUGUCGAUUUGUCUUGUUCGCUAUUGUCUUGUAUCGAGUCUCUAUCUCGUUUUGUCGUUAUAAUGUUAUCUCGAGUUGUCAUCGUUGUCUAAAUGAUGAAAACAUCGACGAGUAGCUGCUUUGUUGUCGUCAGUUUCACGUUCUAAGAUGAGAACGCUUUGUAUUCGCUAUAUCGUAGUUACCUGUAGGCUUGGACACAAUUACAAUCAGUCCCGAAGUAUUAACAUGUCAAGUCGUGACGUCGCUUUGCGUCAUAUUCGUAAAGCCCCUUGUAGAUGUCUUCUGACAUGUGUAAGAUGUCGUAUAUAAUCUUAUCAUUGUUAGCUGCAUAUUCUCAGGUGUCCGUGACUUGAAAUUGGUUCAUGUGACCCCUUAAUUGGGAGUGAUUAUGACGUAAUGGAUAGGAGUACCAACACGUGAAGUGUUUUGUAGUAUGUCUUCCGUUCGUAAUAUAUAACUUGUAGACAUGAUGUGUAUCUCGUCAUCAUGACGUGAUAUGUAGAAAUCGUGCCACGUCAGACGUCAAUGCAAUCUGUCAUGACUCGUGUAAGUGAUGACAUGUAGAAAUGUGUAUUGUGAUUUAUGUGUCCGACCAAGGGUCGUGACUUGCGUGAUUUUGUGGAGUUUUCAUCGACAUGUAUGUUAAAUACGUCAAUGUAUUUUAACUUGUAAUAUCCGUAAUUGUAGUCGUUAAAUUUAUUUUUUAUAACGUUGGUGCACGUAGUAUAUGUAUUCGACAAAUAUAUAUAUAUUCAAUGAAUAUAUAAUUUUCAGACGUUGAUGCAUGUAGUAUAUGUAUUCGACAAAUAUUUAAUUUUCAAACGUUGAUGUAUUCGACAAAUAUGUUUAUUUUCAAACGUCGAUGCAUGCAUUCGUAGGCUAGUUAAAAGGCCUUUCCCUCUUGAAACUUAGCUCGUAAUUGUAAUUGUGAUUAUGUAAUGUUUAAAUACAUAAUAUUGAAAUGCGUCAUUAUUCGUGGCGUCGUAAGUUAUUUGUGUAAUGUGUAGUGUUGUCGUCACCAUCAUUCGAUAAUGAUCAACCGUAGUAGGAUAGGUGAUCAGCCCUCCUUGUCUAUUAAUAUGUAUCUAAAAUAUACUCAUGCAAUAUCAUGUCACAAUAAAUAUCAUGAUGAAGACGUCAACUUUAAGCAGUUAAACAUGGACAAUUUAGAAUAACUUGCAUAACGUAUUUCAACACACAUAUCUAUCAGGUAGAGUAGCAAGUCAUGUAAGAAACAAGCACAUGUGUCAUUAUGAUUAGAUCAUCAAUUAUUCAAGCAAACAUUCAUUGGAAGCAUGAAAUAUCAUUUAAAUAGCAUAAGCCCAAGUAAAGAUCGUAAUCAACUUAUUAUCAUAUUGCUAAAGACUAAGAGAAUAAAGAGGAUGAGUUCACUUACAUGUGAUAAAGUUCCAAAAGUAACAUGUUCGAGCCCCUGGGGACUUGUAGUUCGUAAUGUCUUGUUGAAUCAGGUUGAAGUCGUCGGACACUUCCAAAGGCGUCAAUGAUUCAUGUCCCGUCAUGAUGUUGAUUGUCAUGUCAGUUUACGGAUAUGUGCAUAAGUUGAUGAGGUUGUACCCCUUUCUGGGUAUAUGUCUUGUACCUCGUUCGCCUUGUCAUCAAGCUGACCUUAAUUAAGUUUUUUGGACUUGUCGAUAGUCCAUUUUUGAUUCUUUCUUCUAGUUUAUCUUUCGUGGUCAUGUCAUGUCUUUUUACUUCACAUCAUGUUGAACCAGUGAUGUCGAUACCCUUGUGGCGAUUUUAGGACAAGUCCCAAUCAUCUCCUGUUGAGAUAGUAGAUUUGGACUGAAAUCAGCCACAAAAUUAGCAAAAUAUGUGACUCGAUCGUUGUUUGUGACUCAUAGGUGAUAAUGUAUUCGACAUGAUCUGUCAUGUUUCUAAAGUUCAUGUCUAGCUGUCACGUCGAUCAUCAUGUCAAGACUUCAUGUCCAACUGUCACGUUGUUAUUUUUACACUGUCACCAUGUUUGCUAGUCAUUCUGGACACUCGACUUCAUGUAUGAUGUCCCUUUUGAUUUAGUUGUUUGCUUUUCGUGUGAUUAUCAUAAUGCUGUUUGAUUUCCAUUUGACAUGUAUGCGGUUUGAGUUGUCAUCAUUUAACUUGUGUAUGUUCAUGUCGAGGCUGCUACCCAUCGUCUCGUCGUGAUCCCAAGCGAAGGUGUUCAUUCUUUCUGUCAAAAAAUCAAUUAUGUCGGUCUCUCUCUUUGGUGUCACGUCAUGUCCUCUUGUGGUGUUGUUUUUUGUCGUUUAGAUGUCAUCCAUGUCUUGUUGGUCGUGUUGUGUCACGUGUGAUUUACUAGUUCCCGUCAGACGUGAUGAGAUUAGUGUAACUUGUUCAUGUCAAUCUAGUCGUACAUGUCAUGGUCGUUUGUGGUCACUUCAAUUCAACCAACCCGUCGGACAGCCCCAUGUUUGUAACCAGAAAUCUUCUCGCCAUGUCAACCAAAGUGAUGUGAUAUAGAAAAUCAGUGUAUCCAUGACGCCUAUCUCUUGUAGCCCCUUUUGAACCGAUUAAUAUGCGCGUCGACGUGAACUCCAUUGCCAUAGAAAUCAUGUAAGUGCUUCGCUAGUUUCCCACAGACGGCGCCAAUUGUUUUUACCAAAAUUUGCGGGUUAAAAGCCAAGCCUAUUUAAUUUCUAUAACAAUGGAGUAUGUGUUUUUAUGUAUGAAUAUUUAGUAGAUCGUAUAGAUAAAUAUCGAAAAGAAAAUCAAAGGCAAGAACACAAACAAUUUUGGUGACGCGGAAAACCCCUUGUAAAAGGUUAAAAACCGCGGGUGGGAAUGUCCCAGCCAAAUAUCCACUAUAAUGAUGUAACAUCAGCUUACAAGUAUGAGAAAUACAUGAUACAAGUACAUAAAUACGCAGACGUCGGCUUCAGAAGUAGUUCAUGUCCGUCAGCAAUAUGCACCCGUCGGCAGCAGGUUAACCUUGACGUUGCACCCGUCGGCAGAAUGAUUUCGGGGAGAUGAAGAUGUAGAGCUCCCUUGAUAGAAGAUGAAGAAGCUUAGCUAUCAUAUGUUAAUGUAUGUAUAUGUACGUGUACUGAUUUGUAUGAUCUUAAGCUUGGUUGAUGCUUUAUGAGUGAUAUGGGGUAGAAGAUGAAGUUGUGGGCAUGUAGAAGUGUGUAGAUGAUAUGUAUCAGUUAUGUACCUCUCUUUUUCAUGAGUAUUUAUACCCCCUCAACACUUAUGCACGUUCCUAGGUUGUUUCUCCACGUUCUCCACUUACUCCUAUAGUUUAGGGAUAAAGAAUAACCUCCUCCUAACUCUUAGGAUCGUUACAAGACUUAUUCUUCAUGCUGUUACGUUCAUGUCGAGUACCUUCACGUCAUGUCGAGUAUCUUCACGUCAUGUCUUAGCCAAGACGUCGAGCAUCAGCUUUGUGUGUAGCUUAAAUAUAUCUUUGGAGAAUGAUUAAUUAGCUUGUAAUUUGAUGAUAUAAUCACUCCCCUAACUCCCAUCAAGAUGUGGCUAUAUUGUAGGAUUAUGAUAAGGUAGUUAUUAUCCUUAUCUCCUAUUUUCCCUCCAUGUGCAUGUUGAGUUUCCUAAAUUAGUGUCACUUAUCCAUUCUCCAAUUUGAAUAAUCUCCUAAAAAGGUGGGUAGUUGAGACUUAGUCUCUUGCCCUAUCAGCCUGCACACGUCGUGUCGUCGGUACUUCAUGUCGUGUCAGUACACUUCCCGUCAUGUCCUGACGCCUGUAAAAUCUGGGUACAAACAAGGACCAAGCAGCGCCUUGAUUAUCGGUAGUUCCACUAUGAUUGAGGCCAAGUUUCUCGUUCAACCAACAUGAUAAAGUCACAAGCAGCUUUGCAAGCCAUGCAAUCUCAUCAUUGGAGACUGGUCGCUUCAACCAGUCACCCCUGUAUUUUGUACCAGUUUGCUUCUUGUUUCACAACAUUCUAGGACUAAAUAUCUCAUCACGUGGAUGCUGAUUUUCUCUUGUCUCAGGGACAGCAUGCGUGUUCCUUGAAGUAGAGUUACCAAAUAAGCAACCCAUCUGGGCUUUGAUAGAAUCUAAACAAGCCAUAUUGUGAGCAUGAUUAUCUCCCAAGACAGUCUGCAGCUCCGACUCAGCACGCAACACAAAGAGCUGCAAUAACAAUAUAACUAGUGAGUGAGACUUGAAAUUAGAAUGACACAAAUCCAUUCCUAGAAUUUAUAUAGUUCAUACAUAUAUAUUUAAGUACACUAUAUGCUAAAACUGUUGGAAUAAUCUUAAAUUUAAUUAUUAUUAAUAUUUGUUUAGUUAUAUAUUUUGAGGAUUAGUUUUAGAUUGAAGUAGUUGGAUGUUUGUUGUAGAGGUACAAGAAUUAAUACAAAUCAGUUUUAUAUUCUACACUUGGCAUUGGAGCCAGGUUCCGCCGCCAGGCGGUGGUGAAGCCGCCGCUAGUGGUGAAGGCGCAUAGUGAGUGUUUGACGAGAUAGUUUCAGGUAGGCGUUGCAGAAGGAUUGUGGCAAAGCUGCAUCUGCAUGUGUAGUAUGGGAUGCAUGUAUAGUAUGAGGCUGCCAAGAAAGACGAGGCGAUGCCUACUGAAGGCGGAAAAUAAGAUAGAGUGGAAGAAGGUCAUGCAGAACGAGAUGGAUCUUGCGUUUUUUAUCACGGAGUUGAGGGAGAACCUCUCCUUCAAAAUUAUGGGUGAUUAUAUGUACCUGGAGAGAAUUUUAGAAUUAUGGGUGAUUAUGUGUAUCUGGAGAAAAGUGCUCCAGUGAAUUUGGCGUUGAUGAGAAGUGCAUCAACAAAUUGGUGUUGAUGAGAAGUGCAUCGACAAAUCGGUGGUAGUGAGAAGUGCAUCACAUAUAGAGGUGGCAAUCGUUUUGUUUCGUAUACUUUCGUGUUUCGUGUACUCAAAGGUGAACCCGUAUCCGCCCGUUAUCAAUUUCGUGUACCAAAUUUGAAACCCGUAUCCGAUCCGAAACGUUUCGUGUAUUUUUCAUGUACUUUUCGUGUACAUUAUAUAUAAAAUUUUUAAUAUAUUUUUAAUCAAAAAAUAGCUUUAAUAUAUAUUUUUCUAUAUAAUUUACUAAAUAUGAAUGAUAUAUUUAUGCUCGCAUACAAUUAUCUACAAAUUUGUUAAUGUAUCUAUAAUAUGUAUCUACAUAUACAUAUACAUAUAUAUUUAUUUAACACAGUUAUAUAUAUAUAUAUAAUAUAUUAUACCAUAUAUAUAAUGAAAUCUAUGUAUAAAUAUUUCGUGUACUUUCGUGUACCCAAAAUGAAAACCCAUAUCCGACACGAAAUCUAUCGUGUAAUUUCGUGUUCGUGUACUUUCGUGUUUCGUGUAUCAAAAAUCAAAACUCAUAUCCAUUUUUUUCGUGUCGUUUCAUUUCGUGUUAGCGUGUUACGUGUCAAAUUGCCAGGCCUAAUCACAUAUGAAGAGAAGUGCUUCAUAAACUCUCUUAAGUAAAUUUAAGAUUAUGGGGUGAUUGUUGGAAUAAUCUUAGAGGGGUGUAUUGGAUUGAGAUUUUAAAGCCUUUUUUUGCAUUCAUGAAAUCCGAGGGUAUUGGAUUGGGAUUGUUUGAAAUCAAUUAAAAUCUUGAGGUAUUCAAUUGGUAUUUUAAAUUAUACUACAAAAUCCGGUGGUAUUCAAUUGGGAAUUAAAAUUAUGCUUUAAAAUCCGAUGGUAUUCAAUUGGGAUUGUUUAAAAUCCAUUAAAAUCUGAGGGCAUUCAAAUGUUGAUGGAUUUUUUUGCAUUUCAUAAAAUGAUGGAUUUUGUGGCAUUCUUCAGUGUAUUUUAAGUUUUUUGAAAUCCCACCAAAAUCAAUGGGAUUUUGAAGCAUAUUUGUGCUUAAAUCCUAUAAACUCUGCGACAUAUUAUCAAAAAUCCGCACAAAAUCAAAAUCCAUUAAAAUCCAUAAACUAAAAACAAUCCAUUAAAAUCCCAAUCGAAUACAUCCCUAUUAAUUUACUUAUUAUUAUUAUUUGUUUAGUUAUAUAUUUUGAGUAUUAGUUAGAUUGAAGUAGUUGGAAGUUUGUUGGAGUCCUAGAGAAUUUGUAAGAGGUAUUGAGUCUAUUUGAGUCUAUCAUGUUUUAGGAGAUUUAUUAGAAGUAGUAGAGUAUUUAUGAAAUCUCUUUUUUAGAGGUACAAGAAUUAAUACAAAUCAAUUUUAUAUUCUUACAAAAAGAAGAGAGGUGGAAAUAAACCUAUAGCAGCCGUUGUCCGCCAUCAUCACCAUCACUAAAUAACUGCAAAUCUUUGUUCCAAUUCUCAUGCAAGAAAGAGCCAUCAGCGUCAUUUUCACACAAUCCAUCCUCCCAGUCCUUGUAAAGCAAAAAAGAACAAGGGAUUUACAUAUAAACCUCUGAAAAAGAGUUGAAGAAUGCGCACGCGCACACACACAAAAGAGAUGUUGAACACUUUUAGCCGAGUCCAUGUAAUAUAGAUUCCCCAUACGUAAGCUUACCAGAUGUAUCCCCAUGAGCAACCAUAAAUUAAAAGAAGCUCAAAGAAAAUAAUUAGCUUUUUGUUGUGGUUCAUUCAGAUGUAUCCAUCAAGCAUUUUCCAGGACCACUGAAGCAAUCUAUGCAAAACCAUGGUUGAACAUCACUAACUACACAAGUAGCCUUCCUCUUGUGUUCUGCUUAUCCAGGUAAAAAAGAAAAGACUACAUGUCUUUUUUUGCUAGCAUGUCUUAAAAUGUACUAUUAUAUAAUUUUCUUAGUUUUUUAAUAAUUUCACCCAUCUAUAAAAGUAUAAACAGAGGACAAGAACAUAUAUCACACCUUUUGUGCUUCUUUACACCUCAACAGAGAACCAAGCAGGGCCUUGAUUAUCGGUGGUUCCACUACGAUUCAGGCCAAGUUUCUCAUGAUAAAGUCAAGGAGCUUUGCUGCUUUGCAAGCCAUUCCAUCUCCUUAGCGGAGACCGGCCACUAUUGUCCGGGCAUGUGUGGGUGAACUUAAUUUGAAAUAUAAUCAUUUAUUUUGACAACAAUUUCACAUUCACAUACUAUUAAAUAAUAUUAAGUGUUUAGAGGACAUUUAGCAGAAAAUACACAUUUACAUACUUUCUCUUCCAGAUAUAAGUAAUUUAUUUCAAAAUACAAAAUAAGUUAAACGCCCAAGAUGUUUGAAUCAGUGAAUUACGCAAAUAUUUAAGAAUGAGAAAUCAUGGAGUAUGUUAUAAUACUCAAGUGCUUGUUACAUUCAACAUUUUACGGGAAAAAAGUAAAUUAAAUAUUUGCAAGAGAAUUAAUAGCAAAAAACGGAGCAAAUGUGUUCCAAAUUUUAAUUUUAAUAAAGCAAGUAAUGCUAUUGUAUUAGUUCUGGAAACAAAACGUAAUUUUCUCAUGAUGCAGACGCAGCAAACCGAUGAUUCCAAGUGUCUGUUAGCAGAAGGGGAGAGUGAAGAAGAAUAGAGAGUAUAAAGUCAUUUGGUUUGCUAUGAGGAGGUCAUUCAGGAAGCGGAACCAAGAGCGGUGAUGUUUGCAGAAACACAAGAGAAAGACUUCAAAUGGCAUCUUGAAAAGGAAUGAGAGCAGGCAAUUGCAGCAAACACAGCAACGACAACAAAAGUAAUCAAGGAAGAUGAGUAGGAUAGUCUUGUGAAACUGAGCUCCUGAAUUUCUGUUCUGCUUAGGAUUUUCGACAUAAUAAAGGUAUGAAUAGUAAUUACAAAAUUGAAAUAAUUGAACCAUAAUAUCAAACACAGAAGGGAAAAAAAUGGUUUUAAUAUGAACACUAAUCGGCUCAAUCAAUUUGAUUACUAAAUUGACUAAGUGCUGCUUUAAACGGGUGCCCAAGACAAUAGUGAUGAAAAAGAUUAAAGUCAAUAAUUAGUGACGAAAAAGAUAUAAAGAACUUGCUUGGCCAGUACUUAAAGUCCUGGACAUUAUAAUCAUGUGGUGUAAUCACAUGGUUUAAUGAAUUAUUGUUGAAUUUGCAACCAAAGAAUCAUGAAAAUGGUUAAAGACUGUCUCAGAGUCAUAUACAGUGGCUCCAUUAUAGUUUAAUUAAUAUACUUUGGCAAAGGGCAAUACUGGACAGCAAUAGAGAAUAUAAAGUGAUCACUCCUCACUUCCCUAUUCUUUGACUGACCUCCAAAUUACACUUUGUUAUACAAAUUUGUCCACUAAUUUCACAAUGAUCGUAUCAGGAACGAGUUCAAGUAUAUCAGAAGUAUAUUCUAGGUCUAAGCAAAAAUGUUUUAACACAAGUUUGUUCAAUUAACAGUCAUAAGCUGUAAGAUCAAUAAUAGGCUGAAUGCAAAUGCUAUUUAACAAAAACGUUACCAACAUCGCAUUGCAACAACAAAUAACACCGAUAAAAGACCGAAAACAAAUACAAUCCACCAAAAUAAGACCAGCUUCGCAUUGCAAGGUCAUGGAAUUUGAACUUAAGAUUCUAUAUGUUAUGUUUUAAGUCUGAACUCAAGUUUUGCCUAUAUCAGAUCAUAUUCCAAACUCAACUAAUGUGGGAGACUUGUGUAAUGAGUGCAACUGACCUUUUGCAACAAACAAGCACAUCAGUUCAAACUCUCCGACUAGCGUUUUCUUUUUAAAAUAAAAAGAAAACAGCAAUAGUUAUAAUCUCUCCAUUAAAGAUGACAAGUUCUGCAACUUUCGAAAUUAUUUAAUAACAUCACAUAGAAAAUCUACUCACUUCCCUAUUCUUCGACCGACUUCCCCAUGUGCCACAGAACCCAUAGCACAAGUACCGGAUCAUAUUAUUUUUAGCUUGUCCAGAUUUGGGUCCGGGAUCGUUUUAUUCGGAUCUAAACCGAUCCCGGGUAUUUGGGAUUCGGAUCUGAACCGGAUAUGAUCCAAUAUCGUAUUUUCUAUUUUUUAACCGGGUAGUUUAUGAUCCAUCGAAUAUGAGCCGGAUAUGAUCCACUUACACUAAGUAUCAUUAUUAUUUCAGUUGUUCAAAUAACUAUCAUUAGUCUAAGUAAACAUAAUAUUAUAAAGUAUAAUAAUUUUAAAUUAAAGCUUAUGGUUAUAUAUUGAUAUAUAUCAUUUAUUAAAUAUAUAUGAAGAUAAUAAGUAUGAUCACAUUAAAUAAAUCAUAUUUUAUGAAGAUAUAAACUUAAAUAAGAUAUUAAAAUUUUAUAAAAUGAUAACUAUUUACUUGCAAAUAUGAUGGUGUUAAAAUAUAAUAUGUAUAUGAGUUUGAAUCGAAUAUGAACCGCGGAUCAUAUUCGGUUAUUCGGGUAGGAUAAUAUUAUGAAAAGUUAUAUGAGCCCGAAUCUGAGCGGGUAUAGGUGUGCUCGUAUCCGGGAUCAUAUAUUAUACGGGCUUAAUUUUUCCGCCAGAUUUGGAUCGUUUUCAAAACGAAUAUGAGACAUGUAUCAUAUUUUCGAGCCGGAUAUGAGCCGAGACACCGGAUAGUCCGUAUCGAUUUACAGCCCUAGCAACAUCAUAAACAAAUGCAACUGUACAGUAACAUGGAGAAUCCAAUGUGCUGAAGACACCAAUACAUUUGAGCCUUAUCAAAUUUAUUACUCCCUCAUCCCAUUUUUAACUGUACUUUAUAUAGACUUGUUUGGUUUCUGCUGAAAAAAAAGUUGAACGAAUUAAUAUGGCUGAAGCAAUUGUGUCGAUUGUUAUGGGAAGGCUCGCUGAUUUAUUGAUUGAAAAACCUCAAAUCCUUAAUGAAGUGAGCGAUGAAAUUCAACUAGCUGUGACCGAGCUCAUGCGGAUAAAGACAUUCUUACCAGAUGCUGAUUCAAGGAUGGAUGUAGAAAGAAUCCGGAUUUUGCUCCGGGAUGUACGAGAGCUUGCCUAUGAUGCUGAACAUGCUGUCGAAACUUUUGUUAUUAAAGCCUCAUCGACUAAAAAACCAUUUCAGUGGAUGAACAGAGGCAAGUUUUCAAGGAAGAUGAAAGAUAUACAAAAAAAGAUGUCCAUCUUCUUCGAUUUGUUUUCUGAUUAUAAUAUCAGACCAACUUCUGAAUCAUCAACUUCCUCCAACAGAGAAUCGGGAAAACUAAAGCGAUUUCACUCUUUCACUACUCCUGAACCAGAGAUAUUUGUUGGAUUUCAUGACGACGUUGAAUGCUUGGUGCGACAUUUGGUGAAUGAAUCUGAUGAUUCUUACCCACUUAUAUCUAUUUGUGGAAUGGGGGGUCUGGGAAAGACCACUCUAGCUCAAAAGAUAUACAAUCACUCCGCCAUCAAGACUCACUUUGCUGGUUUAGCAUGGGUAUCAAUCUCGCGAAAGUGGCAAACAGAUCGGGUGUUGCAGAGAAUUCUUAUAUGUCUCGUCCCUGAGAACAAAAACUCUAUCCUUAAUAUGGAGACUGACAAGCUAGUGGAGUAUAUGCUACAAAUCCAGGAAAGGAAAAAAUGCUUGAUAGUCCUCGAUGACAUAUGGUCAACACAUGAUUGGAAUGCAUUAAAAGCUGCAUUUCCAGCCGGGAAGUCCAUAAGCAGAUUAAUGCUUACAAGCCGUAAUGCUGAGGUUGCUGACUAUGUGAAUUUAAACGGAUACAUUCACAAGCCAAAAUGUCUAAGUCCAGAACAAAGUUGGGAGCUACUCAAGUUAAAAGCACUUCACACAGGAAAUUGUCUAGGUACAUAAUUUUGGUUGUGUUAAUUAUAUUUCAUAUGCUUUUUCUUUACCAUAUCUUUUGUUUGACAACCUUAACUAACUGUAUUUUUUGUUACCUAAGUUCCAUAAAUUUGGGAAGAAAUCUGUCCAGCAACCUAAAAGAACAUUGUUCUGUUCCAUAACAUAUCGUUCAUGUUCGUUUACAAACCUAUGUAUUAGAAUUGUAAACGAAUCUAACAGUUCAUUAAGUGCCCUCUUGAGGUUUGAGUUAACGAACUUGAGUUCGAACCACAUAUUUUGUUUAAUAACCUUAACAAACAUUAUGGGGUUCAGUAAUUUUAGCUCGUGUUAACUUCAAGUUUAUCCGAGUUAAGUUCGUCGAUGGCUCUAACUUGAAUGUGUCUUUUAAACAUUUGCACUAGUUAAAGAAUUAGAAAUUAUCUUGGCUUGUGUGUAUACACACAGACACACAUAUGAAUCCCGUUUGUUGUGUGUUGCAGACAUUACCAGAGAUGUAAAGAGGAUGGAAGAACUGGGAAGGGAAAUGGUUGAACAUUGUGCCGGUCUUCCGCUAGCUAUAGUCGUCUUGGGUGGAAUUCUUGUAACAAAACCAUCGUUGAUAGAGUGGGAGAAGGUAUAUCGUGAUAGUAAAUCAUCCCUGAAGGCGGGGAAAGGACUGGGAGAAGCCUAUCAAAGGGAAAUAUUAAGUUUUUUAAUAUGGAGCUACAAUGAUUUACCGCCUCAGCUGAAGCCAUGCUUUCUAUAUUUAUCUAAGUUUAGUGAAGAUGAAUCGAUAGACAUAGAGACUUUGUAUCAGCUAUGGAUCGCAGAAGGAAUGAUACUCUCGAGUGACAAAAGGGAAGGAGAAACAAUGAUACAAGUGGCUGAAUCAUACAUGGGAGAACUAGUCCACAGGAAUAUGGUUCAAGUGAGAUUUAACGAUGUAGAAUCAUCGCUUACAAAGUUUGAAUCUUGUUCUCUGCACGAUCUUAUGAGAGACAUGUCUUUAAUACAAGCAAAAGCAGAAGAUUUUUUUGAAGUAAUACAUUUCCAAAGUGGAAAUGAGUUUCAUCUCAAAUCUACUACAGAGUCAAGGUCAGCUUCCACUCGAGUUGUGAUUCGUUUGGAUGAGGAAUAUUCUAGCAAAGAAGCUAAUUACUACUUUACCAAGAAACGCAAUCAAAAAUGCUAUCGAUCAAUUUUACUCCUCUGUGAGUUUGGGGCGAGAAGUCUGCCACGGGCCCUGGGGUUACAUUUUGCCAAUUUUAGGUUCCUAAAAGUCUUUUCUGUGGAGAAUUAUACCAAUUUUUCUGGUGCAUUUUCUCAUUUUAAUGUUGGAAGAGCAUUAGGGUCCCUUGUUUACUUGCGAUAUCUUAGUGUAAGGGGCAGUAAUUUGUCGGUUUUUCCAUCUCUACAAAAGUUGGUGCUAUUACAAACUCUAAAAUUGGAUAUAUCCGACAAGAUAUAUGUUUUACCAUGGCUGUCAAGAGAUGUUCUGGUGAAGAUGGAUUGUUUGCGGCAUCUGUAUUUGCCGAAAUUUAAAGUUGACGUUUUGGGAAGGAAAUCGAAAUUACGGUUUAAUGGGUUGAGCAAGUUAGAGACCCUGGAGAACUUUGACACUAGUUGGUGUGAGGUUAAGGAUCUACGUGAGCUAAUCAAUCUUCGGAAACUAACGGUAACAGUGAGGGGUAGCUGUGAUAUUCUGGAAGAAAUGAUGAAAAACUUGGAUGAUGUAGCCUCCUCAGCAUCUUCAUGUCUGAGGUUCUUGGGUGUCACUAUUGUUUAUUGUGAUAUUGAGCUGAACAAUGAUCUUACGAUCUUAAAACAAUUGGUAUAUGCCGAAAAUUUGAACCUUCGGGAAUUGAAAAUAUAUGGGUGUAUCCCAGAGGUGGGUCUAAUAUUUCCGCUGCAUGUAUCCACAAUUUGUAUUACAACUUUAAAUUUAGGGGAAUCAUACCUGGAAGAAGACCCAAUGCCAAUAUUAGAAAUGCUUCCAGUGUUGAGUGUUCUCCGAAUGUAUAGGGAUACAUAUGUGGGGAAGGAGAUGGUGUGCUCCGCAACCGGUUUUCCUAAACUCACCGUUCUUAUUUUGCACGAGUUCACAAACCUUGAAAAAUGGAGGGUGGAGGAAGGAAGCAUGCCCAUCCUUUCAUACUUGAUUAUUGCAAGUUGUAACAAGUUGGAGGAGUUUCCCGGAGGCCUUGUGUUCCUCAAGUCCCUUCAAAUAAGUCAAAUGCCUCAAGAUUUCAAUGAUAGGCUUAAAAGGCAAGAUGGUGAAGAAGGACCCGACUUUCACAAAAUUUCUCAUGUCGGUAGACUCAUUAUUGAUGAUCAGGGCUACAUUUGAAUGUUCUUGUAAGUUAGGUAUAAAGUAUUGUUUUGGUCGUGAAGAACAUAUUGCUUGAGAACUUAUUUGAUCAUUUGCUUCUCAUUAAUAUUAUAUGAUCAAUUUAUUUUCCAUUAAAAUUAAUACUUUUACUGUUGAAAAUAAUUUUAAUUAAUAAGCAAAAAUUUAAAACAUAAAUUACAAAAUUAUACUUUAUAAAAAUAUUAAAGGGUUUGCCGAUUCACGUCCCCAACAUAUAUUAUUCAGGACGAUGGAGAGCGUAAUAAUUAAAUAAGUUCAAUAACCGGAUUUUGGACUAUAUAUUUUAGUAUCUUAAUGUUCGGUUAUUUUAUGAUGGUUAUUAAUAUGAGUAAAGAUUUGUAUAAAUUUAUAUUUAAAAAUUUAUGCAACAUGAAGUUAAAUAAAUUAUUUUAAUAAAUAAAUAUAGAUCAUCAUCAUCAUCAUGAUUAUUUUUUAUAUUUUUGGAACAAUUAUAAUAGUAGGAUUCUUAAACAAUUAUUUAAAAAUUAAACAUUUUAUGUUGAACUCUUAUCCUUUAAAAUAAAAAAAAAAUCACUACUUUUUUCAACGAAAAAAAUGUAUGUGUUGAAUUACAUUUGGUUGCAAACUCAAUCUUUUUUCUUAAGAAUUUUACAAAGAAAGUAAAUCACCUAAAAGGACUUUAAACAUAUGACAAAAAAGACUCUAAACAUGUGUUUAGAGUUUUAUUCAGAACAAACUAUUAGUUUCCAAUUACGAUCAUCAGUGAUCAGACUACUUAAAAGAACUACUCUUUUCAGACUAUUGCAAUUACGAUCAUCAUACUACUGAAAGAACUGCUACUUUAGAAAAAGGCUCAGCAUCCUCAGGUUCAUGUUCACACCAUAUUCUUUUGUGAACUAGGGGCACAAUUUUCAUCAUUUUCUUUGUCUUACAAGCCAUGCAAUCUAGUCAUUUGAAAUUGAUCACUUUAAAGACCAUCCUUGUGUCUCGUUCAUUUUUCUUGAGGUGAACAAGAGUUAAACAAAUUCGGAAGCGAUAAAUAUAACAGUCUUCUAACAGAAAAUCGAUUUAUGAUAAUUUUAGACUGCAGAAAAAGAGAGGAAAUAAUAUUUCACUGACCAAUAUGUAAUAUGUUUUCAUGCGAUUGCGGCCAACACAACAGAGCACAUUGUUUCCCACAUGUUGCAACAAAACACCAAAACUAGGAGACUUCUAACUCUUGACUCCACCCAUUGUUCAAACUUUUUCUUUGUGAUCUUCUCUUUUUUAUAAUAAAACACUUUUGGUUUUUUUUUUUUCUUUAUGGUUAAACUACAAUAUAUACAGCGUUUAGGACUGGGAAACUGCUUUCUUCAAGACGCUGAAGGCAACGAGCAUAAGCAGUGAUAUCAUAAUCUUCUUUGAAGCAAGAAUCCGCAAGUUCACCUUCAUGCCAUGGUCUCUCAUGAGCUUCACCGUUGCCCUAAUUACUGAAAUAAGCCAGAAUACAACGGACAAGAACACCAAUUUCAUUGUGUCUGCAGGUCCAUUCACAGUUCUUGUGCCUCCCGACACCUCGACAUAGGACCAAGCAGCGCCUUGAUUAUCGGUGGUUCCACUAUGAUUGAGGCCAAGUUUCUUGUUCAACCAACAUGAUAAAGUCACAAGCAGCUUUGCAAGCCAUGCAAUCUCAUCAUUGGAGACUGGUCGCUUCAACCAGUCACCCCUGUAUUUCAUACCGGUUUGCUUCUUGUUGCGUAUCACUCUAGGACUAAAUAUCUCAUCACGUGGAUGCUGAUUUUCUCUCGUCUCGGGGACUGCUUGUGUGUUCCUUGGAGUAGAGUUACCAAAUAAGCACCCCAUCUGGGCUUUGAUAGAAUCUAAACAAGCCAUAUUCUGAGCAUGAUUAUCUCCCAAGACAGUCUGCAGCUCCGACUCAGCACGCAACACAAAGAGCUGCAAUAACAAUGUGACUAGUGAGUGAGACUUGACAUUUAGAAUGACACCAUUUCAGUUCCUAGAAUUUAUAUGGUUCAUACAGAUAUAUUUAAGUACACUAUAUGCUAAAAGAAGAGAGGGGGAAAUAAACCUGUAGCAGCUGUUGUCUGCCAUCAUCACCAUCACUAAAUAACUGCAAAUCCUUGUUCCAAUUCUCGUGCAAGAAAGAGCCAUCAGCAUCAUUUUCACACAAUCCAUCCUCCCAGUCCUUGUAACGCAAAAAAGAACAAGGGAUUUACAUAUAAACAUCUGAAAAAGAGUUGAAGAAUGCGCUCGCGCACACAAAAGAGAUGCAGUUAGGUCUUCAUACCUGCAGUUGUUCUCUGAUUGAUGGAACAAAUCUGUACAAGUUGUUGUGUAUGGGUUUGGAUGACCCAGAAGGCUUAGAAUGGAAGACAGUGUCCACAUUGUUUAUAAGAUUCAUCAGCUCACUGGACGAUGUCAAUAUGCUUAAGACCUGCACAAGAAAUACAAGAAACAUAUACAAAAUAAGUAAACGGAAACUAUAACGAAUUGAUCCUGGGAUAAAAAUAUAUACUAAUUAUAAAAGAAAAUUUCCCCACUGUUACCCUGACUCUUCAUUUUGCCUCAAGUACCGGUGUCGGACACUCAACACUUGAACAUCGGACACUCAACACUUGAACAUAGGUACAGACACUACAGAACUUAUUUUAGGCCAAAAACAUGUAAAUUUUCAGAAUACUACCGAGACACACUCGGACAGGUAACCAUGUUGGACACUUUUAGCUGACUCCAGGUAAUAUAGAUUCUUCAUAUGUAAGCUUACCAGAAGUAUCCCAUCAGCGCCCAUAAAUGAAAAGAAGCCGAAAGAAACUAUAAAAGAGGAAUAUAGCAGAUUAUUAUUAAUUAGUAGCCUUGCAUAAGUUUCCUCUAUAAUUCAACACAAGUAGCUUUCUGUUGUCGUUCAUUCAGAUGUAUCCAUCGAGCAUUUGCCAGGACUGCUGAAGCAAUUUAGGCUUUUAUCUAUAGUCUAUGCAUGCAAAACUAUGGUUGACCGUCACUAACUACAGACCAAUUUAAUUUAUUUUUUAUUUAUCCUCUUAUGUUCUGCUUAUCCAGGUAAAAAAAAAAAAUUGAUUUGGUCAAAAAUAUACACAACACAACUAUAUAUGGAGAAACUUGUGAGCAAAUCCUAAAAAAUGCAUAACCAAGGAACUAUAGAACAAAUAGUUGAUCAACACAAAGCAUUGCCAGGAACUAGAAUAUCCACUUGAAGAAGACUGUACUUCCUUUUUAGUACCAUUGCUCGACACCUCAGCAUUUACAUCUAGACCAGAAAAAUCUUCAAAGCUAAUGUUCCAAGGUUCUAUAUAAUUAAUCCCAAGCCAAAACACCUGAGAUCUGGGAAGUACUGGACGCAAAUACGGGGAGUCCGGAAAAUGAGUAUUUGGCAUGGGAAUACCAAAAAUAUAAAAAAUAUUUAAAUUAUACUCCAUUUCACACUCUUAUUUCUUAGCACUCACACACAUUUUAAAGGUGCGUAUCCUUUAUUCUAUACAUCCACCACAAUAUGCAGUUAACCAAUAAGAAAAUAAAUGGAUCUGGAUAUGGAUUUGACUAAAUUCGAUACAAAUCCGACCCGCUGACAAGCCUGCUUGGAAACACAUCAAAUUAUUUAUAUUCUAAUCAUAAACUCAUAAAAGGAGAAAAACAAAAAAAAAAUAUGAUUUAAAAAGGUCAGAGUCAAAGCAGUGGACUGUAUACAGACAUAUGUGCAACACAUAUAUACAGAUCUGGACCAGAGAAGAGAUAACAAAACAAGCAGCAGAUUGAACUCAGAGAAGAGAUAACAGUCGGAAAGCGAAGUCACAAGGAGAGCUAACUGGGUAUGUAUCUUUGUAAUAUAAGCUCUGUUUUUUGUUUUAAUGAAUUAUUGCAGAAGAUUGAUGACUUAUUGUUGAACUUUGCAACCAAAGAACCAUGAAAAUGAUUCAAGACUGUCUCAGAGUCAUAUAGAAUAGUUUAAUUAAUAUACAGCAAAGGGGAAUAGUGAUCAGCAAUAUAGAAUCUAAUGUGCUCAUGACACCAAUACAUUUUUACUACUUUAUUACUCUCUCGAUCCCAUUUUUAACUACUUGUUUGGUUCCUGGAGAAGAAUAGGUUAAACAAAUUUAUAUGGCUGAAGCAAUUGUGUCGAUUGUUGUGGGAAGGCUCGCUGAUUUGUUGGUUGAAAAACCCCAAACCCUCUAUGAAGUGAGAGAUGAAAUUCAACUAGCGAUCACCGAGCUCACGCGGAUAAAGACAUUCUUACCAGAUGCUGACGCAAGGAUUGAUGUAGAAAGAAUCCGGAUUUUGCUCCGGGAUGUACGAGAGCUUGCCUAUGAUGUCGAAACUUUUGUUAUUAAAGCCUCAUCCACUAAAAAACCAUUUCAGCGGAUGAACAGAGUCAAGUUUUCAAGAAAGAUGAAAAAUAUACAGAAAAAGAUGUCCCUCCUCUUCAAUUUAUUUUCUGAUUAUAAUAUCAUACCAACUUCUGAAUCAACUUCCUCAAACAGAGAAUCGGGAAAACUUAAGCGAUUUCACUCUUUCACUACUCCUGAACCAGAGUUAUUUGUUGGAUUUCAUGAAGACGUUGAAUGCUUGGUGCGACAUUUGGUGGAUGAAACUCAUGAUUCUUACCCACUUAUAUCUAUUUGUGGAAUGGGGGGCCUGGGAAAGACUACUCUCGCUCAAAAGAUAUACAAUCACUCUGCCAUCAAGACUCACUUUGCUGGUUUAGCAUGGGUAUCAAUUUCGCGAAAGUGGCAGACAGAUCGUGUGUUGCAGAGAAUUCUCAUAUGUCUCGUACCUGAGAACAAAGAAUCUAUCCUUAAUAUGGACAGCGACAAGCUAGUGGAGUAUAUGCUACAUAUUAAGGAACGGAAAAAAUGCUUGAUAGUCCUCGAUGACAUAUGGUCAACUGAUGUUUGGGAUGCAUUAAAAGCUGCAUUCCCAGCCGGGAAGUCCAUAAGCAAAUUAAUGCUUACAAGCCGUAAUGUUGAGGUUGCUAAGCAUGUAAAUUUGAACGGAUUCAUUCACAAGCCAGAAUGUCUAAAUCCAGAACAAAGUUGGGAGCUACUCAAGUUGAAAGCACUUCACACAGGAAAUUGUCUAGGUACAUAAUUUUACUUGCGUUAAUUAUGGUUCAUAUACUUUUUCCGCACCAUAUCUUUGGUACGACGGCCUUAAUGAGCCAUAUUUUCUGUUACUUGAGUUGGAUAAGUUUGGUUAGAGAUCUGCCCAGACAACCUUAAAUAACAUUGUUCUGUUCAAGUAACAUUUUUUUCGUGUUUGUUUGAAUUCGUUAGUCGUUUACAAACGUAUGUAUUAGAAUUGUAAAUGAAUGUAACAGUUCAUUAAGUGCCCUCUUGAGGUUGAGUUAACGAACUCGAAUUCAAACCACAUAUUUUGUUUGAGAACCUUAACAAACUUUAUGGGGUUCAGUAAUUUUUGCUGGUGCUGACUCGAAGUUUAUCCGAGUUAAGUUCAUUUAGGGCUACAACUUGAACGUGUCUUUUAAAUAUUUGCACAAGUCAAAUGACUAAAUUAGAAAUUAUCUUGGCUUGCGUUUGUGUGUCUAUAUAUACACACAUAUGAUUCCCGUUUCUUGUGUGUUGCAGACAUUUACNUUUGGGAUGCAUUAAAAGCUGCAUUCCCAGCCGGGAAGUCCAUAAGCAAAUUAAUGCUUACAAGCCGUAAUGUUGAGGUUGCUAAGCAUGUAAAUUUGAACGGAUUCAUUCACAAGCCAGAAUGUCUAAAUCCAGAACAAAGUUGGGAGCUACUCAAGUUGAAAGCACUUCACACAGGAAAUUGUCUAGGUACAUAAUUUUACUUGCGUUAAUUAUGGUUCAUAUACUUUUUCCGCACCAUAUCUUUGGUACGACGGCCUUAAUGAGCCAUAUUUUCUGUUACUUGAGUUGGAUAAGUUUGGUUAGAGAUCUGCCCAGACAACCUUAAAUAACAUUGUUCUGUUCAAGUAACAUUUUUUUCGUGUUUGUUUGAAUUCGUUAGUCGUUUACAAACGUAUGUAUUAGAAUUGUAAAUGAAUGUAACAGUUCAUUAAGUGCCCUCUUGAGGUUGAGUUAACGAACUCGAAUUCAAACCACAUAUUUUGUUUGAGAACCUUAACAAACUUUAUGGGGUUCAGUAAUUUUUGCUGGUGCUGACUCGAAGUUUAUCCGAGUUAAGUUCAUUUAGGGCUACAACUUGAACGUGUCUUUUAAAUAUUUGCACAAGUCAAAUGACUAAAUUAGAAAUUAUCUUGGCUUGCGUUUGUGUGUCUAUAUAUACACACAUAUGAUUCCCGUUUCUUGUGUGUUGCAGACAUUUACAAAGUGGACAUGAGUUUCAUCUCAAAUCUACUUCAGAUUCAAGGCCAGCUUACACUCGACUCGUGAUUCAUUUGGAUGAGGAAUAUUCUAGCAAAAAAGCUAAUUACUACUUCUCUAAGAAAGGCAAUGAAAAAUGCUAUCGAUCAGUGUUAUUCUUUGGUGUCUUCGGUCCGAGAAGUUUGCCACGGGCAUUGGGGUCACAUGUUGCCAAUUUUAGGUUCCUAAAAGUGUUUUCUGUAGAAAAAUACACAAAUUUUUCUGGUACGUUUUCUCAUAUUAACUUUGGAAGAGCAUUAGGGUCCCUUGUUUACCUGCGAUAUCUUAGUGUAAGGGGCAGUAAUUUGUUGGUUUUUCCAUCUAUGCAAAAGUUGGUGUUGUUACAAACUCUUAACUUAGAUACAUUCGAGGGUAUGUAUGUUUUACCAUGGCUGUCAAGAGAUGUUCUGGUGAAACUGGAUUGUUUGCGGCAUCUGUAUUUGCCGAUAUUUAAAGUUAACGUUUUGGGAAGGAAAUCAAAAUUUCGGUUUAAUGGGUUGAGCAAGUUAGAGACCCUGGAGAACUUUGACAGUAGUUGGUGUGAGAUUAAGGAUCUACGUGAACUAAUCAAUCUUCGAAAACUAACGGUAACAGUGAGAGGUAGCUGUAAUAUUCUGGAAGAAAUGAUGAAAAACUUGGUUGAAAUAGCCUCCUCACCAUCUUUUCGUUUGAGGUACUUGGGUGUUUGUAUUCUUAAUUGUCAUCUUCGGCUGAAAAACGGUCUUACUAUCUUGAAACAAUUGGUGUGUGCUGAAAAAUUGAACCUUCGACAUUUGAGAAUACAUGGGCGUAUCCCAGAGGUGGGUCUAAUAUUUCCAGUGCGAUAUGUUGGGGAUAAUUAUGCACAUGUAUCUACAAUUCAUAUUACAAGUUUAAAUUUAUCGAGAUCAUACUUGGAAGAGGACCCGAUGCCAAUACUUGAAAUGCUUCCAAUGUUGGGUGAUCUCUUUAUGUUUACAGAUACAUUUGUGGGGAGGAAGAUGAUGUGCUCCGCAACCGGUUUUCCUAAACUCACCAAUCUUUGUUUGUACGAGUUCCCCAAUCUUGAAAAAUGGAGGGUGGAGAAAGGAAGUAUGCCUAUCCUUUCAUACUUGCUUAUUGAAAGUUGUAACAAGUUGAAGGAGCUUCCAAAAGGCCUGGUGUUCCUCAACUCCCUUCAAGUAUUAAGAAUAUACCAAAUGCCUCAAGAUUUCAAUGAUAGGCUUACAAGGAAUGAUGGUGACGAGGGACCUGACUUUCACAAAAUAUCUCAUGUCCGUAGAGUCCGUAUAGAUAAUGAUCAGGAAUACAACUGAACGUUCUUGUAAGUUCCUAAGUUGUAACGUUUUUGUUUUGGUCUUGAAGAACAGAUUGUUUGAGAAACAAAUCAGAGAUAUUAUUAUAAUAUAUAGUAAUAAUUUUUUGAUGAGAAAAAAGGAGGUGAGAUCAACCUUAUUUAAACUGAUUGCUUCCUAAGGUUAAAUGACACACAUGCAUAUGUUCGUUAGGUAUCGUGUAAUCUCUCUAUUUUUAUUAAAAAAUACCUCUAUUUACCUGAUAAUAUCUUCACUCCAUCUACAUACAUCAAAAGUAAUUCAUUUUUUUUGUCUUAUGUUGAUUCUGGGCCUUGGAAUGGAAUAGCAAACACACGCAGAUGAGUAUAAUUCAAAGUAAUCUUCUUGUGAAUGUAGUUUAUAAUUCACUUUAAUUUUUUUAGGAAAUGAGUAAUAAUAUUGAAGAUUGUCAAAUUCUGGAAGAUUCGCCAUCUGAGGAUUCAUUGUCUACCAAUUUACAGGAUACCUACACUGCUGAAUUGGAUAUAGAGGAUGGUACACGAGCAUUUUUCAUGUCUCAUGAAGAUAUGUUAUUUCAAUCACAAGAAGAAGCAUAUAAUUUUUAUAACAGCUUUGGUUUGACUAAAGGAUGUGCAAUAGGUAAAUUUUAUAUAUACAAGUCUUAUGGUGAGAAGAACUCUUGUAUCUGAUAGAGAAGGUUUCAAAAACAAAAUAAGAGGAUGAUAGUGAGGACAACAUAAAACGACGUCGAGAAACUAGAUGUGGUUGCAAAGGUUCAAUGGAAAUUAUCCUAAAGAAAUUAGGGACAUGGAAAAUGAAAAAAAAAUUAAUAAUAUCCAUUCACAUGACUUGCUCAAGAGUCCGAAUAAGAAAAGAAAAUUAAGGUCUCAGAACAAGUUUCAUUAAGAUGCAACUUAUAAGAAAUUGAUUGAUAAAUUUAGUAGUUGCGGAGUUGGGCCAACAAAAAUAUCAGGCAUUAUAAAUACUGCUAGUGGUAGUGUUACAGAUGUCAUGACACCCCAACAAUAUUCUGAAGAGUUAAGAAUUAAGAGAAGAUAUUCAGAAUCAAGAGAAAAAAUAACAUCGGCAAGGAGUGUAUAAUUAAUGUAGUGCGGAUUAUUUUUAGAGAGGAAAGCAAGAUAUUCUGAAUUUUAGUAUGCCAUUCAACUUGACGAACAUGGCUGUAGAAGUAUUUUCUGGUGUUAUGCCAGAGCGAGAAAAAUUUUAUAAGAAAAUUUCUGAUGUGAUAGUAUUAAUCGGGACUAAUACAAUUUAUUGUAGGAAUGGAGUCUUCUCAAAGAAGUGAAAGUACGAAUUCGUUUUUUGAUGGUUAUGUCAAUAGCAAUACUCCUUUGUCUAUAUAUAUUGACCCGUAUGAAAAAGAAAUUACUGGCCAUCGUGAUAGAAAAGAGAUAGCAGAAUUGGAUAUCAAUGACAACUAACCCUGAUUUGACAAAUAUGCAUAGCUUGGAAGCUCAUGCUGGAAAAGUUUAUUCUCGAAAUAUAUUCAAAUUAUUUUAGAACGAAUUUAUGCAGAUUUUGCAUUGCCAGCAUAACAAAAAAGUAGCUGCAGGUGUCUAGAUGGUGUAAGAUGUAACUUUCAACGAUCAUAAUAGGCCACACAUCUGUUAAGGUUUGCAAGUGUUCGUGCUAAAUUUGAGACAUGGGGUAUUGUAUGCAAACACAUAUUGUAUAUAAUGAAAUAAAAAUUAAGAUUAAAGAUCAUACCUGUUGAAUAUAUUUUGUCAAGAUGGACCUUAAAAGGCAUACAAUUAGUUCAACGGUCAGUGUGAACAAUGAUGGUGCACCUGGUUUGAAUAUAGAUUGUAACACGCGUAGGUAACAUCUCUUGAAUCUUUGACAUUGUGAGGUGAUUUUAACAAACUUCAUGGAAAGAUAAUUACUCGUAGAGAUCUCUAUGAAGUAAUGGAAAGGGAAAUAAAGAUGUGGUGGAAAGACAUUGACAUGAUUGAAAGUAAAUAAGUGCCACCACCGCCAGUGUCCGUAAAUGUAGAUGAUUUUUCAGAGGCAAAUAUAUAUAGCGGAUAAAAGUCCUUAAGAGAUCAUGUUAAAGUUCAUCAUCAGCGAUCCUACCAGAUGCAAGACGAAACGUAGACCGCGUAAUUCAUCCAAAAUCCCUACCGGAAUGUAGCAAUUUCAAGAUUUGAAGUAGAAAAGAGUUUGUGGAAAUUGUGGUCGGAAUGGGCACUACAAGAGUACAUGUAAAAGUAGUAAAUAAUGAAUUUUUUUAAAAAUACUAUGUUGCCUUGUUUUUAAACUCAGCAGUUCUUCUCAACUUUUAUUUGGUUUCAGAUUUUUAUUAAAAUUAAGUUCAAAAAAAAUUCCAACUAAUUUAGUCUAUAUUAAUUUUAUGAAAUUCCUGUCAAUUUUUACCAGUAUGUUAGCCAAUAUAUUCCUGGUUAUAAGUGGCAGCGGUGCUUAUAGUCCAGGCACAUUUAUUGUUGCACGAUUCCUGAAUGCUAAUAUGGAGUUAGCCAGAAAUUUUCUUGUUUUAUGCAAAUCCAGAAAUUUGCUCUCUACUUUUAUUCAGUUUAUGAAAUGGACAGUUUAUAAGCUCCGAAAGGUAUAUCUAGUGAUUUUGUCCGCAAGUUCUCGACCACUUGCAGACCGUCAAUAUCAAUACCAGGCCACAUUUAUUAUUUUCACACUAACUUUUAAGUUGUGGAGGGUCGAGAAAUCAAAAUGCAUGUAAUCAGGAUAAGCCAACAAGGAUGCUGUCAACUGUUUUGUUGCAGGACCAGACUCACAACUAUUUGUCGGUGUUAACUGGCCACACUGGACCAGUCAAGUGUAUUCCAUUUCAAGGGUCUUCUGCUCACCAGUGUAGUGUUUAUGAUAUGAAAGUAGACCUGCAAGCAUAAAAGCAAGCAAAUGCCAGCCUUCCUAGCAAAUAAUAACUUACAUGUUUGCAAUGAGUGUUUCCUAACUUUGUGACUGCAUAGUGACUAAGAAAAAAUCAAAGAAAUCAGUUGAUUACAGGUUCUGUUUCACUGGAGUCCAUAAUUAAGCAUAGCUGGGUAAUCUGAGGCAUUAAUCACCAUCCCCUGAAAUGCAUUUUCUUACUGCUCUGUUGGUAAUUUUUAUUUUAGUAGCAUUGAAUACUCGGAUUCCUGAUGAUUAUGUUUGCUAAUCCUACUACUAUUGUAUAAUGUUAAUGGACCUAGAGCAUCUGCAAUGAGAUUUUUAAACAAGUUCUUAACUCUAAAUUUAUAGAGUAAGUUAAGAAUUAUUGCUCCAAUGAGCUCCAAGAAGCUCUUUAAAAAUUUAAGAGCCUACUAUCUCCUCACUUUUAAAGAGCAUCCAGUAGCUCUUAUCUUUUUAUUUGUGAAUAUAAUAUUAAUUUCCCUCCAAUCUUCUCUCUCUUUUAAUUAAGUUUUCUCUCUCAUUUAUACAAAAUAAAUAUAAAAUAUGAAUAAAGAGCUACGUAUAAACAGUAGCAUUAAAGUAAUCAUGUUUUUCAAUGUAUUAAGUCACUAGGGGCCAUAAUUUAUAUUAUUGUUUAAGAAAUGAUUUAGUAGCACCAUUGGAGAUGUUCUUACUCCUUGUGAACAUAGAAUAAAUUAUUUUUUUUGUGCCAAUUCAGUUACGUAAAGAUUUGUCAGAAACAUUUUGUUACUCCACACUAUAAAUUGUCGUGGACGAAUUUUGACCCAUGACAAGUUUUCUCUUCAUAACAUUAUCACUUGGAAAGGUCCUUCAGCAAAUGACAGGAUGUCACCAAUUGCCAAAUUCAUUGCAAUUGCGAACUAUUAAAUUUUUGUUAAUUCAUGUUGGAGUGCAUGAACUGCUAUAGCUUUAAUAUACAUGAUUUCCCGACCUGAACUGCUAUGAGUGUUUCCUAGAUUUGAUGGUGAUCAAUAUGUUCAUGGACGGGGCAUCGCCAUCUCAGAGGAGAAGCGGAAGAGGAUGCGACAAGAAGAUUUAUGUGUGUAUUGUAUACUCCCUCCGUCUCAUUCAUUUGUAUACAGUUUCUUUUUUUUGACGUCCCACCAAUUGUAUAUAUUCCAAAAAUAGUAAACUUUUAUAAUAUAAAACACCAUUACACCAACUAUUUUCCUCCACUAUCUCCAUUCUAUAACAAUAUAAACACUAUUACACACAUUACUUUCCUCCACUAUCUCAAAUCUAUUAUUAAAUAUAAAUGGGUCCCACCACUAUACCUACUUUUCAUCUAACUUUACUAUUUUUUACAUUUUUUCUUGGUCUUCGUAUCCCAACCAAAUGUAUACAAAUGGUUGGGACGGAGGGAACUAGAGCACACGUGAUAGUCAUCAAUCCAGUCAUUUUAAUUUGUUCCCAAAGCUUGGGUGGUGUGGAUGUUAAUAUCGUCUGAGAACCAUUCAUGUUUGAGCAAAGAGUUGCGUGUUAAUAUCGUCUGAGAACCAUUCGUGUUUGAGCAAAGAGUCAUUUGAGUAAAUAUGAAAGAUCUCCCCUGUAGAUGUAGAAACCAUUGAAGUUAUAUAAAACUCAAGCAAAUCACAAAUGCACACACAGGUGAGACAAGCUCGUUUUAUUAAUCCGAUAAAUUGCUGCUUACAAAAUGAAAGAAACACACUCUGAUAAACUCAAGUUCAGAGUGUUGGAAAAAAAGUCCUACUUAAACAACUAGCUAAGAUGGUAAGGAUAAACAAGAACUGCUGCCUAUGGUUAAUCCACUCCUACAUGCACUCAUGAAAAACAGCUACUGCUAUGGCCUAAUCUUGUGUGCACACUGAUCACAUAGCAACUUAUUUAAAUUAACUAAAUUAAAUAAAAGCAACUGAAGUAUAUCAGAAUUUAGAUCAAACUCCAACAAGCUCCCCUAAUCUAAACUCGAUUGCAGGUUCUUCACACCCAAUAGCUCACACAUUCCCUCAAACUUAGCCCUUGACAAUGCCUUGGUCAAUACAUCAGCUCUCUGUUCAUUUGUGUUGACAUGUACUUUGAGUAUAAUUUCACCACAUUCUACACAUUCCCAUAUAAAGUGGUAGCGAAUAUCUAUGUGUUUACUCCUUCAUGAAACACUGGAUUCUUUGCCAAAUCUAUUGCCCACUUGUUAUCAAUAUACAGCACCACAGGACCAGCCUUUAUAUUCGUCAUCCGUCUGAGAAGUUUAUAAAGCCAUAUGCCUUGACACGCAGCUGCGUUGUUUUUGACAUUGCCAUACCUCUAGUAGACCUCUUGUCAUCCACAUUUCCAACUAGGUCGCUGUUUGAAUAUCCUGAGAGCAAGUAGUUUCCAUCCCGUUUAGAAUAAACCAACCCAUAAUCAAGAGUUCCAUUCACAUAACGUAAAAUUCGUUUUGCUGCAGCUAGGUGCAUGACUAUGGGUCUCUCCAUGAACCUGCUUACAAUGCCAACUGAAUAAGCUAUAUCAGGUCUUGUAAAUACAAGAUACCUGAGUCCUCCAACCAUACUUUUAAGGCUUAAUGACCUUUUAGCCCUCGAAGUAUGAAUGGAAGUUCCGAUGCGGUCUUGAAGUUUAAAAACGUACCUUUCGACCCUCAAAGUAUUUUUGUCGUACCUUUUAGCCCUUUUUAAAAAUACCGGCAUAAAUCAGGGGAUAACUUGAAAAAUAGGCAAGAGCAUAACCCAUCAGCACACCAAGAAUUCCUACUAAUUCUCAUUUUAAGCCGACCCUUGAACAUAUAUAAACCAUGUAGGCAAGUAUUCCUUAAUUAAAGAAUGAAUAAAACUUUCUCCAUCUGUUAUCUAAACUAUUGAAGCCACCAGCGAAGUUGCAACCUUGACAUGUGCCAUUGCUGCAGCAAAAGAAACCUGAUUAUAUCGCAUUCCGUAUUUUACUUUUUUCAGCUUCUCUAGUUAUUCUGUAGGCAAUCCCUUAGUUGCAAUUUCGCUAACAGUAUCCAGCAGCUGGGUAACUAUUUCUUUUGAGAUAAAUAUAACAUUCCCGACAGAUCGGUGGACACGUAGGUAAAGUAUUCCAUUCAUUAUUGUUUUUCCAUGUCAGACAUACCAAUCAUUGCCAUCUGUCAGCAAGGUGGAUGUUGUUGAGGUUAAAUUUUUCAACUUAACGUUUGCUGUUAGAUUUUUCUAAAAAAGUUAAUAGAAUGAUAUAUAAUAUAACAGUAUUUUAGUGGGUUAUAUGAGUCGCCGUGGAGAUCGGGUAGCUACUUGAUAUAUUUUGCUGAGUUCGAUGGGCAAUCUGAUAUAAAACCCAAAACCAAACCAAAUUAAUACUAAAUUUGAUAUUUGAUAUAAUAUAUGAUUUUGGUUCAUAAACCCGUCCAAAUCCAUAUUAAUCAACUAAAAUUGGUCCAAAACAUGAGAGGUCUACUUACUCUCUUGACACAAUUGGUAUAUGAUGAAAAUUUGAACCUUCGGGAAUUGAAAAUAUAUGGGCAUAUCACAGAGGUGGAUCUAAUAUUUCCGCUGCAAUAUGUUGGGGAUAGUAAUGCUCAUGUAUCUAAAGUUCGUAUUACAAGAUUACAUUUAUCGAUUUCAUACCUGGAAGAAGACCCAAUGCCAAUACAAUACUGGAAAUGCUUCCAAUGUUGGGUGUUCUCUGUUUGUUUACCGAUACAUAUAUGGGGAAGGAGAUGGUGUGCUCUGCAACCGGUUUUCCUAAACUCACCCACCUUUUUCUGGACAGCUUACCGAAUCUUGAAAAAUGGAGGGUGGAGAAAGGAAGCAUGCCCAUCCUUUCAUACUUGCGUAUUCAAAGAUGUAACAAGUUGGAGGAGCUUCCAGAAGGCCUGGUGUUCCUCAAGUCUAGGGGUGUGCACGGGUCGGUUCGGCUCGGUUUCUACCUAAAACCGUUACCGAACCGUGUAUUUCGGUUCGGUUCGGUUUUUGGGUAGAAACCGUAACCGAACUGUUUCAAACGGUUUUUUUCGGUUCGGUUAACCGUGGUCGGUUGCGGUUUUUUUCCGGUUUUUAUAUGAUUAGAAACUACUAUACAAAUUUAAUACUUUUAUUAAUUUUAGAAAAAUAUUUAUAUACUUAUUAUAUCAAUUUUUCUUACUAGAAUAUAUAAUUAAUAUAUUGUAGCACAUAUAUAUAUAUAUAUAUAUAGGGAUAUGAUCAAAUAAAAACUUUUUUAAGUUACAAACUUACAAACUUUUUUUUAUUCUCCCAUCGUGUUAAUCCUUAGUUAUAUAAAGUAUCUAUGUUGAAAAUUCUUCAAAAAAAAUCACAAUUUUUAAAAAUAACGCAUAAAUAAAUCGCGUUUUCAACACAUUUAUAACUGGGGUUCAACAUCGGGUGUUGAACACUAAUUAUCAUUGUGUUGAAUAUAUCUAAAAAGAUGUUUAAACUAUACCUCUGGGGUUUGGGUAGGGUCUAGAAACAUAAAUAUUAGUUAUAUAACAUGUUUACCUUAGUUCUUACAUUUAAAAAUUGGUUUACGUACUUCUCCACCACUAUUUUAAUCGAUGUUCAACAAAAUAUGUUAAAAAAAUGUUGAACUCAAGUUAUAUAUGUGUUGAACAAAAAAAGUUUGUAAGUUUGUAAGUUUGUACCAGAACCCUCCCCUAUAUAUAUAUAUAUAUAUAUAUAUAUAUAGAGGAAAGUUAUUUGGAGUACCAUAAUUUAUUGGAGUCUUGGAGUCCACAUCCAGGCCAUCCAUUCUUUUUUGAUCCAAAGGCUGCUAUUAAGACUCAUUUCUUUUAUAAAAAUAUAUAAUUUAAUAUAGCAUUUAUACAUACAGGCGUGCUAUUUCAGAUAACUGCAACUACUUAAAUCAAGCAGUUACAACAAAUUGAGAGUUUUCAGGAGUACAACACGCAAACAUGUCCUGCAACAUCUGUAUCUUACACUUCGCCCACUGAUUAGUAACUUCGUUAAUAUCUUUCUUUGUUUUCACAUUUCUUUGUUUAAACUUUUCUACGAAAUGCUUAUAAUAUCACUCUGUAUGAUGUUUUAACUUGUACAGUAUCAUACAAAGGAUGAUCUUACUAUUCUGUGUAAUUAAGGAGCAUACGAUUUACGAAGGGACACAUGUAUACUCAGCUAUAAUAUUGUAGUAGAGCUUUCCAUUCCUUUUACACUACACCAAUUUUAACUUCAUAAGGAUUUGGAACUAAUUAAUGUUGGGUUGCUUAUAACAUACCAAAAAUCUAAAGCAGGAUUUUACAAAACUUCAUCAAAAAGAAAAUUGCAAACAUAUUUUCACUAAUUAGCUUCAAUGCAAUAACCUCAUUCACAUUGUCACCAACCCAAAAGUUCCGAAAUAAAAACAACCAUUCAAACCGGUCCCAACAUAUAACGUAUCAAAUGUUCUAAAAAACCCAAUUAAGUAGUAGUGAUAACAAGACUGUUUACAUAAAUCUGCUACAUUUCACACAACUUCUUCCUGCUCAACCGCACCAUCUUAUUCAGCACAAAGUACUUUUUUUUGUUCUCCGACCAUGUGAGCAUACGACUUGCAUAUAAAAAUAAACUUUUUCUGGAUGUAUCCCUCAUACGUCCUAAUCUUCUUCACCUUGUCUACCUUGGUUGGUGUCCCUCGAACUACCACAUGACCCCUGCUAGCACUACUUUGAACACCGCGUCUGCGUGUCUGGUACCACAAUAAAUAAAUUAGAAUAUUAUCAGGACUGCUGCACAAAUGCCAUAUACAAAAUUAAUAUUCUUACAUUUAGCACAUUAAUAUUACCUUUGUAAUUUUUUUCACUACAGAACCUACCCUCGAUCGGUCAGGUGUUCUAUCGGGUACAAUUUCUCCCUUAUCACUGGUGCCCUGCAGAUUACAAUUAACAACACAACUACAGUAUAAAUAAACUACAUAAGGCGUCAACAAAAGUACAUUACAAACAACAUAACUAACAACUCGCAAACAACAUUUCGCAUAUGCACAACUAUGGCAACAAGAAGAAAGUUUCUAUGGAAACAAAUAUAUAUUACAAUAGUGUGACAAAUAUAGGUGUAAAGUUUUAUUGAAUUGUGAGGUCCAUGGGGAUUGUUCUUUUAGUGUGAGCUGUGUUUUUUUUAUUUAGGUGAUGUGAAUAUGCAGUACUAUGGCAACUUGCUCUUGUAAAGAGAAGUCGCAAGCUGUAACAUUUUCACCAUACUGGGUUUUUUUUAAUUAUUAAUUAUGUUUUUCUUACAUUUUUGCUGCUUGCAGAAUAUCUUCUUUUUGCUGAUGUAAUAUGUCAAAAAAAUAAUUGCCAACAGGUAAGCAUAAUGUUUGUGACUCUGGACAAAGUUGCUCCGGCAGAUCCCAAAUAUGCUAAUAUAUUCAUUCUAGAGAAGUACACUGCAUUUCAGAAUAGUACUGUUAUCUGCUUCAGUUUUAUGUUUAUAUUCUUUUGUUUCAUAGUUUUCUGGGCAGUUGCCUUUAUAAUUUACAGUAUAGUAUAAUUCAAAUAAAUUCACUUUAAUAUGCUGACAAGAUCUAAUUGAAUGUAGUCUAUAUGAUCUAGCUAAUGUGGUGCCAACUUUAGCGAAAUUUUAUCACCAAGCAAGUGAAUCUUAUGAACAAGACAUAUCAGUGUGAUCAUAUAAUAUUUAAGAAAUCUUGUUCUGCAUCGUUCUUCCUUAAAAGAAUCUACCUAAGUUGCAUGUGAUAUAAAUGGUUGUAUUCUGCACUUCUUUUGAUUGAGGACUUAAUGUACACGAUUACACCAGAAGAGGUUAGUCUCUGGACUUCCUUUUGAGCACAAAAAUUAUUGGCGUGAUAUCCAUAUACGUGGUACUUCUCAUUUUACUUGUAAUGUCAUUGUAUAUAUAUCAACAUACCCGUUGUAAAUUCAUCUCAUUAGUGCGACGCACGCUCUAUAGGACUGAAAACACUAGUAAGGCUAUAAAAAUAAAUACAAUUACAGUUUAUGCUUCACUCCUAAUAUAACACAUUUGAAACAUGUAUCUUUGAACACCUACAUGCAACUUCCUAGGGGAAACACGACAAAGGCUCUAAAACUGCAUAGUUUAAUGUUUUCAUUCUGUAGGCAAUCCCCAUGAAUACACACAUAAAUACACAUAUAUAUUGCAGUACAGAAUUACAAAAUUUCAAACCUCAAUAAUGCAGAACAAAAAAACUAUUAGUUCUCUCCAUUAUUGACAUUACCUCUGAAAUUUUAGAUGCCGUGGAGCCUACUCUCGGCUUGUCAUUCUUAGAAACUGCAGCAACAUCCCGUCCAUCACUUUUGGCCUGCAAGUUGUAUACGUCGCCACAUACAAAUAACAACAAAAUCAAUGUCCUCCAUUGUUGACCAUAAUACAUUCAUAGGUCACAUUCGGGGAAAGUGAUAACUAUCGUGUGCUGCAACAUAACUUACCCCGCUUCGUACAUGUUUCGUACUAGAACCCGUGCGAACCCCAUAUCCAGCAGAGAAUAUUUGCAGAACAAACACAAUGGUUCCAUUGAUUAUUUAACAUACAAAAAAACCCAUUCCCCCCCUACGAAACCAAAAAAAACCUAUUGCAUUACAAGCACUUCCCAAAUAGCAUAGGACAUUUUAAAAGACUCAAAAAAGUUUAAUAUCAUAGCAGUGUCAAGUGCAGAACAAAGAAAGACUUUCACUCAGCAGCUUCGCAACAUAAGGGACAUAUGCAGGACACGUAUUCAGCAAUUAGAAAGCCUCAUCUUCAAAGUCCCAAAUUCAGUCAAUGUCUUUGCAACAUCAAAUGCAAAACAAACAGAUGGUUCCAUUGAUUAUGUAGCACAAAAAAUAAACCCAUUUGGCCCCUACUAAACAAAAAUAAAACUUUUGCAGUACAAGCACUCCCCAAUUAGCAUAGGACAUUUUUAAAGACCCAAAAAAGUUUAAUAUAAUAUCAAUUUCAAGUGCAGAACAAACAAAGAGUUUCAUUAUUUACACAGCAAAAAAAUAAUUUUCAAAGAGGCACAACGAGAACUGAAGAUAAUAUGCAGGAGUACCCAUCGACCAAAGCCACCGUAAAAAUCAAAUACCGUCAACCCACUCACCAAUUAUGCGACAUACAAUUCAAUUAAAGCACAUAGAAAUAAAUUGUUGGUCGUGCCUAAGAUCAUCGUUGCAUACAACUGCAGCCUCGCCUCAAAAGAUUUAUUGAGAUUGAAGAGUCCCGCACCGCUGGAGAGUGUGGGGAAUACCUGAACUCAUAAUGCAACAGCCUAGAAUCGUCCUGCAGACAACUACUGAGCCGGUGAAUUAAGUCUGUAGAGUCCCGCACCUAGGGUUGAUCACAGCGAAAUUCAAACCCUGUUGAUAAUGGACGUAGUUUGGAGCGGAAAAUGCGGGAUAUGGCUAUAAUUUGGAGUUUAAAAUUGAUUAAAACUGAUCCUGCAGCAUUUUAAUUCAUUAAAUCUCAACCAUAGGAUCUUCUUAAAAUUUAACGGUAGAUCUUAGGGACUCCAAUUUCUCAAUUAAUAUAGUACCCCAUAGAUCUCAACUCUAUAUAUAUAUAUAUAUAUAUAUAUAUAAUAUGUUAUAUAUAAUAAUAUAUAAUAAAUGUUAUAAUUUUAUUAUAUAUUAUAUAAACGGUUCGGUUUUUCGGUUCGGUUUUAGGGGUAAAACCGUAACCGUUACCAAACCGUUAUAUCAGUUCGGUUACGGUUUUUGUCGGUUACAGUUUUUUUCGGUUUGGUUUUUCGGCUCGAUUUCGGUUUUUCGGUUUUUUUCGCUCACCCCCUGCUCAAGUCCCUUCAAGUAUUAAGAAUACACCAAAUGCCUCAAGAUUUCAAUUAUAGGAUUAAAAGGGAUGAUGGUGAAGAGGGACUCGACUUUCACAAAAUUUCUCAUGUCCAUAGACUCAUUAUCGACGAUCAGGAAUACAAUCGAAUGUUCCCUCUUUUUUUUCUGCUAAAUCAGAUGUUUGUAAGUAAUAAUUAGAGGUAAGAUUAUUAUGUGUGACUUACCUGCAAUCUGUUAUAUUAUUAUUGUGUUUUUACAACUUUUUGAUGCCUGUACUUUCUUUUUCUGUUGUUUCCGUGCAGCAUUUCAAGCUCUUGCUUGCUUCGACAGAUCCUGAACAUCAAAACUGCAUUUAAUUGGAAAACUGGUAGAAUUGGGUCAUCUAAACUCCUGUUUCCUAUUACUAGCAGUCUAGCACAGGGGUGUGGAAGCAAAAAAGAGGGUUUGGGUCUGUAUGCAUGUGUCAUGUUAAAUGAGAAAACCCAGGAGGGAGGACUGAGCUUUUUUCCUCCGGAUUUACAAACUGAAACUGAUAGAUCACAGAUUCACAAUACCGGGUAGGAUCCACCCUUUAUUUUGAAUUGCAUGGUAUCGAUUCUCAAAAUGUUAUGACAUCCCUGAUAUCUCCAUUUGCGGAUGGAAGAUGAUCUCUCACUUAUUGAACUGUGUAUUAAGCAGUACAAAGUUCCUCCUGAGCGCAGAAUUUUGUUGUUAACCAGAAUUAGAUAUGCCCAUUCCUUGCGGUCAUCUAGAAUAUGCAAGUUGUUAACCUGAUAUCUCCAUUUGCGGAUGGAAGAUGAUCUCUCACUUCUUGCCUUUGGUAUGCAAGAACUAGUGUCACUCUUGCUAAUGAGCCUGAAUACACAAAUGAAUUAAUCAGGAUUGUGAAAUCCGAAGAUACAAUCUCUACGAAUAUUAGAACACUGGCAAUGCAUGCCUUGGCAUCUCAGUUAGCUGUAUAUUCAUCAUCUCAUGAAAGGGCAGCUAUUUUGAGCAGAUCAAGCAUUAGUUUUACUGGGGGUAAUCGCAUGACUCUCCUAGCCAUUCCACAGGGAGCUAUUUUAUCACUGAAUAGCUCUAAUGACCCAUCAUCAAUUGCUUUUUGUUGAAGCUCUACUACAUUUUUUUCUGAUUCAUCUCACAUCUAUGUCAAGUUCACAUAGCGUUACUCGUGGGGCAGCACUACACAAUUCCUUGUUGAAAUAGGGGACUCUAAGCUUAAGUGUGCCCUCAGAAAAAGUCGUUAGGAGUACUUCAAUGGAGAAUGCACCUGGUAUGCUUGAAAGCUAAAGUUUAUAAUCUAUUAUGUCUUAUUCUUUAUUACAAUUAAUAAAUCAUCUAUUCUCUAUGCUGAAUUUCUUAUUUCAGUUAAUAUUUAAUAUGCAAGUAGGAUGAAUUAUUGUUGAUGGAAGGUGAUGCAAAAAUGAUGUAUGCCGGGUCCUUUUAUAAUUGUUUAGUAAUUUACCGUAGAAGUCCACGAGCUAAUGAGUUGUUAAACUUUGUUUUUACAUGCUCAUCGUUUAGUAUACAAUGAUUGUCAUUUAUUUGGGAAUUGAAUAGUGAAUUAAUAUUUAUAUUCCCAAAUGGGUUAAUAGUUCUAUUACUCUGCUGGCUGCCUGGCUCCAGUUCAAGUAUCAGUUUUUCUAAUGUAAACUCGACCCGGCUAGCUUGAGUAAACUAGACUUGACUUACAAAUCAAUAUUUGUUCUGAUAAUUCUCGACGUGAGCGAGGGCCGAACAAUAUGUUCGAAGAAACAGAGAAUAAACACAUCACUUGGAUUAUCUAAUGACGCUUAACUCGACUCAGACUUAUUUAUUGUGCUAGCAAUGCAAACUCGGACUCUAACGAAUACUAACUCGGGUUACAGCAAGGGCCCUGGAUGAAAGCAUCAGGGUUGCUCUCGCCUAAUUAAUAUGCUUUGGCAAAGGGGAAUAUAAUUAUAGAGAAUCUGAUGUGCAGAAGAAACAAGUAUAAGCUGCUUGAUUUCUUCUAUUACUGAUUAUUUAAUACGCAAGUAGAGUUAAUAGUUGUUGAUGAAGGUGAUGUUAAAAUUGAUGUUUUGCUUAUAUAUGCUGAGUCAUUUCAUCAUUAUUUAGUAAUUAGUUGUGAAAUUAUGAGCUGAUCUGUUGUUCAGCUUUGUUUUACAUGAUCUCAGUUUAGUAAUAUAAUGAUUGUAUUUGUUUACUAAUUUGCCAGCUUCAUGCAGUUCAACUCCUUUAUAUAGAGUUGUUUGGUUUGUGGCGAAGAAUAACAAAUUAAUAUGGCUGAAGCAAUUGUGUCGAUUGUUGUGGGAAGGCUCACUGAUUUGUUAACUGAAAAACCUCAAAUCCUUCAUGAAGUGAGAGAUGAAAUUGAAGCCGCUGUAGCUGGGUUCAUGCAGAUGAAAUUUUUUUUACCAGAUGCUGAUUCAAGGAUCGAUGUAGAAAGAAUCGGCAUCUUGCUCCGGGAUGUACGAGAGCUUGCCUAUGAUGCUGAACAUGCUGUCAAAAGUUUUGUUAUUAAAGCCUCAUCCACUAAAAAACCAUUUCAGUGGAUGAACAGAGGCAAGUUUUCAAGGAAGAUGAAAUAUAUACAAAAAAAGAUGUCCAUCUUCUUCGAUUUAUUUUCUGAUUAUAAUAUCAGACCAACUUCUGAAUCAUCAACUUCCUCCAACAGAGAAUCGGGAAAACUAAAGCGAUUUCACUCUUUCACUACUCCUGAACCAGAGAUAUUUGUUGGAUUUCAUGAAGACGUCGAACAUUUGGUGCAACAUUUGGUGAAUGAAGCUGAUGAUUCUUACCCACUUAUAUCUAUUUGUGGAAUGGGGGGUCUGGGAAAGACCACUCUAGCUCAAAAGAUAUACAAUCACUCCGCCAUCAAGACUCACUUUGCCGGUUUAGCAUGGGUAUCAAUCUCGCGAAAGUGGCAAACAGAUCGGGUGUUGCAGAGAAUUCUUAUAUGUCUCGUCCCUGAGAACAAAAACUCUAUCCUUAAUAUGGAGACUGACAAGCUAGUGGAGUAUUUGCUACAAAUCUAGGAAAGGAAAAAAUGCUUGAUAGUCCUCGAUGACAUAUGGUCAACACAUGAUUGGAAUGCAUUAAAAGCUGCAUUUCCAGCCGGGAAGUCCAUAAGCAAAUUAAUGCUUACAAGCCGUAAUGCUGAAGUUGCUGAGCAUGUAAAUUUGAACGGAUUCAUUCACCAGCCAGAAUGUCUAAGUCCAGAACAAAGUUGGGAGCUACUCAAGUUGAAAGCACUUCACACUGGGAAUUGUCUAGGUACAUAAUUUUACUUAUGGUUCAUAUACUUCUUUUUAUAAUGUGUUUUGUCCGACAACCUUAUAAACAAUAGAACCAUAUUUUUUGUUAAUUGAGUUCGAUAAGUGUGGUUAUAGAUCUGUCUGACAACCUUAAGGAACACUGUUUGAAUUCGUUAGUUUGUUUACAAACCUAUGUAAUAGAAUUGUAAACGAAUCUAAUUAGGUGCCCUCUUGAGGUUAAUUUAACGAACUCAAGUUUGAACCACAUAUUUUGUUUAAGAACCUUAACGAAAUUUAUGGGGUUCAGUAAUUUUUGGUCGUGUUGGCUCAAAGUUUAUCCGAGUUAAGUUCGUUUAGGGCUCUAACUUGAAAGUGUCUUUUAAACAUUUGCAUUAGUUGAACGACUAAAUUGAAUAUUAUCUUGGCUUGUGUGUGUGUGUGUCUAUAUAUAUACACACAUAUGAUUCCCGUUUCUUGUGUGUUGCAGACAUUACCAGAGAUGUAAAAAGGAUGGAAGAACUGGGAAGGGAAAUGGUUGAACAUUGUGCCGGUCUUCUACUAGCUAUAGUCGUUUUGGGUGGAGUUCUUGUAACAAAACCGUCGUUGAUAGAGUGGGAGAAAGUUUAUCGUGAUAGUAAAUCAUCCCUGAAGGCAGGGAAAGGACUGGGAGAAGCCUAUCAAAGAGAAAUAUUAAGUUUUUUAGUUUGGAGCUACAAUGAUUUACCCCCUCAACUGAAGCCAUGCUUUUUAUAUUUAUCAAAGUUUGGUGAAGAUAAAUGGAUAAAACUGGAGACUUUGUAUCAACUAUGGAUCGCUGAGGGAAUGAUACUCUCGAGUGACAAAAGAGAAGGAGAAACAAUGAUACAAGUGGCUGAAUCAUACAUGGGAGAACUAGUCCACAGGAGUAUGGUUCAAGUGAGAUUUAACAAUGUGGAAUCAUCACUUACAAAGUUUAAAGAUUGUUCUCUGCACGACCUCAUGAGAGACAUGUCGUUAAUACAAGCAAAAGCAGAAGAUUUUUUUGAAGAAAUACAUUUCCAAAGCGGAAAUCAGUUUCAUCUCAAAUCUACUGCAGAUUCAAGGUCAGCUU